rnacentral:lncRNA from 1 species
UCAAGUUCAUAUCAUCUCGAAAAGGAAACCACAAUAUUUAUUCGUUGCACUGCAUCAUAAAAUCUAAAGCCCCAUGUGAGUAGACUUAUGGUUUAAAACCCAUAGGUAUAUUGACUAUGGUGGCAUAAGAUAAAUAUGUUUUCAUCUUACAAUAAAAAUAUAAAAAUAAUAAGUGCAUGAUCUUGCUAUAUAAAUAUAAUUUAUUAGGAGGAAAUUCAAUAUGAUAAAGGCUAAGAGAUUUUAUGCUAACACUUAACCAGUUCCACAAAGCUUUGUUGUCUAUUUUAGUUCCACAGAAUUCAAGGAUCAAAGAAGACUAGCAGACGAAGGACAUCCUAAUCGCAGUAAGGGUGUUGCCGACAUUCAGAUACACCUCCGUCACCUGCUAGCUACAUCAGAAGAAAUUACGUCAAAAUCCAGCUUGGGGGAGAGCACCCCCAUUUAUCCAGCUAAGUGUUUCUACUUGCAUUUAUACUUUACUCAAAUAAUAAAAAUAUGCAUAAUCAUAAAAACCCAAAUAAAUAUUUUGUGUUGAUUGCUUAGUUUGUUAAAUAAAUAAAUAAAUAAAGUUUGCUAUGAACCCUCAUGAUAAGCUCUCACAUGGAAAUGAUGAAUAGUUGCUCUGCCAUGACUAGUUCUCAAAAUUGAAAUCUCUCUCAAGUUUAGGCAUAACUGUUAUAAUUUAAACCUGCUCUAAACCUGAACUUGUGGGAAGAGUACUUGAUCUAAAGUCUAAGUUGUUAACGGAUAUGAUAUGGGAAGGUUGAGCUGCUGUUUAUCUGUUCCUAGAGAUGCUAGAAUUCUGGAGUAUUUUAUCUUUGAAAAUCUUUACAAUGUUGCAUGAUGAGGUCUUGUAUGAUGCGAGUUUAAAUUCCUACCACAGCCAUAUAUACAUGCUUGCUAGACUUUGAGCCACACAUUUACGUUUUUACUGCUUAUGAGCAUUGAGUGUGGUCAAGUUGUGUAGACCCUUAGGAGCUUGUUAUGUGGUUAAAAUCAAGAUUCACUUGCACGUUCACUCAUACAUGCUACUUCUACUCCGGAAGUACGCAUCCACAUACAUCCACUCAAUUCCAUCUCCACAUUCACCUAAAAUUAUUCUACUCCUAAUCCGGGAGAGAAUAGCCAAAAACAUUCUCCUAUUUCUGUUUUUCCCUAUGAAAUAAAUGCUCUAGUUGUCUUGGUUAUUACCACUUGCUAUGUUAUUUCAGGAGAUGAGUGCUCUAAAAAAAUAAAAAAAGUGAAUACGAGGAAAUAAAAAGGGGCAAGUGCCCGAAACCUCGAAGAAAAUAAAAAGUGAGACGAGAGGUAAAAAUGGACAAGUGUCCGAUAGUAGAAUUAGGGGUACAAGAUACCCACCUGAGAGAAAAGAAAAAGAAAAUAUAGAGCAUCUCAUUCUCCUCAGAAAGCUUCAAAGUCCAAGAAAGGUAUGUAUCCCCUCAAAAGAGCAAAAGUAGGAUUAGACUUUCACCAUUGUUAUUACCAUCAUCACCAUACACCAUUCACUCGCCACACAUGCACAUCUUGAUUUGACUUAUUGACUUGUUUCUCUGGAUCCAUGGUUUGACUAUGCAAUAAAUGUCUUGUAAGUAUGUAUUAUCUGUCUCCCACCUAUGAGCUCCAGAUAUCAAAACCUUAUUAUAGUAGGGUGAGAGAGAAGGCAAUAUCACUAUGCCUCAUACCAAAAAUACCACAUACUUUGAGAGAAGGCAUAUACCAUUACUGCCUUGGAAAGGAUCUAGAAAUACCACAAAAGAGAGAUUUGAGAGAGUCAUACAAGGAAUCUCUGAGUUUUAUUUGAAAAUUUACAAAAAAACUCGAGAGCUAUAACUGAUCAAGAAUAAGAGACAUGGCGCAUGACUAGACUGUUCCAUCUUUUAACUGCUCAAGACAGAAGUGAUAUUUACAAGCCCCAUGGUGAAAGGUAAAAUGAGUAAGUUUUAAGUCUUAACAGUUUACUCUAACUCAGAGAUGAGAUCUUACUUUUAAGGCAUGAAACCACUGCAGAAACUUUUGAGUCCAUCCUUGCUGAGGAACGAGCAAGAGAUAAGCUUGGGGGAGUUGUUGACGAUCCUUAGGUACCAAAUAUAAUCAUCAAAUAUAUGGAAGAAAGGCCCACACGUCGGGUUUACAUAGAGAUAUUAACAUUUUGCGCAAUUUUCUAUCAUCUAGAAUACUCCAGAAGCCACGGGAACGAACGGGAAGGCGAUCACGCCCGGGGGCAGGGCGGCCGCCCUCCCCCCUUGGGCGCCCGCCCAGGUGUUGUGGCCAAUCAUGUUCAAUCUUGCGGAUUAUGCUCCACCAACCUAAAGCAUCAAGGAGAACCGUUCAAUCAAUGUCGGCUUGAUCCGACGGCCCACGUUCACCUGAGGGGACUAUAUAUGCAGACCCCCUGGCCCCUAGAGGAGAACAAGUUCAUCAUAGAGUUGAGAGGUGCCCUCGAAGGAUAACCUUUCCUCUAAAUAGACUUAGGGCUUAGCAUCCAAUGUGAGAGUAGACUAGUUCUACUAGAUUGAGAGAGAUAGAGUGGAGGUGUAGAUCGGAGGAAGAUUGGAGGAACAUCCUCUGUGGUGUCUAGAUUCCGUGAGCCUCCCCAAUAAAACAGUAGAUCAUCCAUACCAAGGUUAGAAUGAGAUUACGUUUGUAGUCUUCUCUAUACAUCAUUCACAUCGAGUCACAUUCUUUGUAGCCUAAAGGGUAGUAGCAAUAGAUUUGGUUAGUCAGAUGCACGCUUUCUCCCAAUGGUAAAAAUAUAAAUAUGAUACUCUGGAUAACCUCCCGGGUGAAGUGCUCACCGAUAUCUGUGCGCUUGCGGAUCAUUUCCUGAUGGCGUUACCAAAUAUCAACAGAGAUGAGCACUAGCAUCUUCGUGCGCCUUUCCACAGAACUGGUUGGCUUGCACCAUGUUGAUGAGUCCAGGCUUGAGCUCAAAGUUGUCGUCGAUCUCUGCAACAGGUCCAGUGCGGAUGUUGUCCGUAGUGGGAGCCGAGAACUCACGGAUCGAUUUGUUCGCCAUGACUUCGAACUCUGAAGACAAGUUCCAGGUGAAACUUCAGUGAUCUUCUUGAUUGGAUGAAGCUUCGUGCUAAAGUGUUGACAAUCUCUUCUUGAGCUUGGCUCUUGUUUUUCUAAAUAAUCCUUCGGGAUUGUCAACAAAAUUACCUAGAAGAUGUCUUCUAUUCAUACAUCAGCCUGCAUAAAAUAAUAAAAAAUAGUGAAAUACAGGGUUAAAGUUGUACGAGAGAAUUGAUGAUCUCAAUCAUAUUAGUGAUGCGCAUAAUGACUCAUUAUUCCUUAUUCAUUCCUUAUUAGUAAAUCAACCUUCCCCGGCAACGGCGCCAAAAAUGCUUGUUGGGCAUUCUUAACGUCAUUACCAAAAGUAGACUUAGUUUUCUAAUUCUGAUAACGGCGCCAAAAAUGCCGAACCUAUCCCUCAUGCCACUUAAGCCAAGUUGUCGUCCCCAGCAUGACAUGAGAGACGCGGUAUUGAAAUAUGCAAUUGCUCUUCUGAAUGAAUAAUAAAUGAGAUCUGCAAGCACACAGAUUAAUACUGAUGUAGCAUUUUAACCGGGAAGUAUUCCAGGUAUCGUUAUUUAUAUUUUUACCACUAGGAAGGGAUUGCUAAUCAUCAAUGUUGAUUAUGGAAUGAAAUAUGGAAAUGAGUAUCUAUCAUUGCAUGUGUAAUAGAGAGCAUUUAUCUAUCUCUUUCAUACAGGGAUAAAUGUCACAUAAAAUAUAGAUAAAGUAUGAAUGGUGACAAUUAAUCUGAUCAGCAUAACUAGCCACAUAUAAUAAUGAUAAGCACCUCAACAUAUAUUAUAGCAAGUCAUUAGCAUGGAAUUAGGAUGAACUACAAGAAUAUUUCCUAAGUUAUUCUUAACUAUAAAGUCUAGCAUAUCAUAGUUAGUGCAAUUAUACUUGGCAAUCAUUGCAAGACAGGACUACGCCCAUGCAUAGUGAUAUUAUCAAGGAAGAUGAGAAACAUAGCAAUCACUCCCCUGUAAUAAUGUUGCCCUGCCUGCCCUAUACACGAGAGGGGCACUAUAUAAGAAACAAUGGAGUUGUCACCACCACAAACUACCCCGCGAUCCGGCAUAUAGGGUACAAUCGUAGAUAAAUACGGUAUAGGCACCAUGCCUACAAAAUACUUAUCAUUUACCCACUGUACACAUGGAUAAACGCUAUGCGAUCCUAAACAUGUAUAUAAUUCCAAUCUAACUAAGCCAAGCAUAUAACUAUGAUAAACUAAGAACAAUAUAAUUGCAAAUAUAAACAAGUAGAGCAAAGUCAUAAUCAAUAUAUUGAAGUAGAACAAAGUCAUAUUCAUAAUAUUGAAGAACAAUGAUGAACAAAUGAAGAACAGUAGAGGAAUUACCAAGAAUCCUCUUGAUAGAUCCAGAAAAUAAAUCGAAGAUUGACUCCUUCUAGUUCUAAUCCUAUGUAGCUAUGCUAAACUAGAGAUCUAUUGAUGUGGUGGCUCUAGGGCUUGAUCAGGGACUUCUUCUCCUAAGAUGGAUGAAUGAAUUAGUUCUUCAGAGGUCUACUCCUCCAAGGGCUAGGGGGUCUGCUUAUAUAGUCCCUCCAAAUGAAUAUGGACCGUCGGAUCAAACUGACCUUAAUCGCACGGUUUUCCUUAAUCCUUUAGGUCGGUGGAGCAUGAUCCGCGAGGUGGAGUUUGAUUGGCUCUCAGGCCAGGGCGGGCGCCUAAGGGGGGAGGGCGGGCGCCCUGGCCCCGGGCCCGUUCGUUCCCGUGGCUUCUGGACUCUUCUAGAUGUUGGAUAAUUGUGGUGCACGUUAAUAUCUCUAUGUAAACCCGACAUGUGGGCCUUUCCUCCAUAUUUCCUGAUAACCCCCUGCAGAAAUAGACAAACACCAAAACUCGUGGAAUUCUGUCAGAUAAAACCCUAAGUCUGGGUGUUGGUUGCAUUUGGAUCCUUUUAUUUAUUUAUUUGUUGAUUAUAUUUGAUACUUAAGGACCGUCAACAGUAGGCACAUUGAUGUUGGUUCUAGGGUUGCAUGCUCGAGCAUCUAGGCACAUUGAUGCAUGUUCUAGGGUUCUAGCACUUGCUUCAAGAUCACAAAGUGCAUUGUUGAAGUAUUGGUUUCCGAUCGAGCAAUCAAUGGUGGGGCAUCCUGGAUCCUUCUUCUUCUUUGGUGGUUUGUUGAGGAUGGCCGCACUACAUUCUUCUGUCAGCUUGAUCACCUUAGUGGUGGGCAGUGGUCUCUUCUUGUUAAGAAUAUCGCUAAUGUACUUUGCAUAUGUGGGUACCUGUAUGGCAUCAAGUAGAGGUAUGUUGACAUAUAAUUUUUGAAUGACCUCUACAAACUUACCGAACUGCUCAUCCGACCAUAGUCCUCUCUUUCUUCUAGGAAAUGGCAAAUAGUUGGUGUCGUGAAAAUCUUUCCUCAUUUCUCCAGUACUAGGUGGUUGUAGCAACUCUUCUGCUUCAAGAGGGCUCUCUUAUUCUAUCACUGUUGGUUGCACUGGUGCUAGUGUUCUUUGCUUCUCUCUUGGAUGUGGGGGAUCCUUGGUAGCUUUCCCCUCUCUAGUAGUUAUGUUCUUUACCUACUCAAUGUUAGUGGCAGCAGGCAAUGCAGCAACUAGCUUUGCUAAUUUAAGCUCUACCCUUUUAUUAAGAGUGUAUUGCUCAUCAAGGGCAAUUAAUAGAAAGUCCAUUUUAUUGUGUAUAUCUUUUAAAGAUGAUUCAUUAUCUCCUUUAAUGAAAGUUGCUUAAAAGUAUUACCUGAAUUCAUACCUUUUCAAUUGGGUUGACUUGAAGUGGGUUCAUAUUUGUAUGCUGUCUCAAUGGCCCUCUGAUCUUCUUUGUACUUGGCCCUCUGGUCAAGCCAAUGGUGCAAAUUUUCCAUCUUGGUUGAUAGUGCAUUUACUUCUUUGGGUAUUUCUUCAGUUUGAUGACAAUGUUGAGCUUUAUCAUGGAACCAGCUUUGGUUUUCUGCUAUCUUAUCCAAAAGUAUCUAUGCUUUUCCAAUUGUAAGCUCCAAAAAUGAUCCCUUAGUAGAUGCAUCUAAGCACUCAUGAGACUUUUGGGUUAAUCGAUAGUAGAAGGUUUGCAUAAGUAACCAUCUGGCCAUUCAAUGGUGACGACAAUCUGAUAUGUAUCCUUGAAAACGCUCCCAUGCUUCUCGAAUGGUUUCUGUCUUAUGCUGUUGGAAACUGACAAUAUUUCCUCUUAAGGCAGUUGUUUUGCCUAUAGGGAAAAACUUUGCUAGAAAGGCAUCUGACAAGUUCGUCCAAGUGUUGAUGUUUUCUUGAUUGGUGUAGAACGACUUCCUUGCUCUUCCUUGCUCUUCCUUGCAUCUGACAAGCCCCCUCAAAUGAACGUUGGCCGUCGAAUCAAACCGACCUUACUCGCACGGUUUUCCUUGAAGAUUAGAGGCGGUGGAGCACGAUCCAGGAGACGGAGCUUGAUUGGCCCUUGUAGCUGGCGGGCGCCCAAGGGGGUUGGGCGGGCGCCCUGCCCCCGGGCCCGUCCGGCCUCCCGUUCACUCUCGUGGCUUUUGGACUCUUCUAGGUUGAGGAAAAUUGCCGCACACAUAAUUAUCUCGUUGUAAACCCGACGUGUGGGCCUUCCUUCCAUAUUUUCCAAUAACCCCUUGCAGAAAUAGACAAACACCAAAACUCGUGGAAUUCUGUCAGAUAAAACCCUAAUUCUAGGUGUUUGGUGCAUAUUGAUCCUUUUCCAUGUUUAGUUGACGGUUGAAUUUGGCACUUAAGGACCGUCAACAUGGUGUACGAGGCCCCAUGAGUCAAAUGAGUUUUCAGGCAAGCCGAGGAGCCACUAGUGACUACCUUGGUCGAGGACAACCGGGAAAUAUUUUAUCAUGACGUGCUUGUCCCCUGUUGCUGACCGGACCGCGAUCUCAUAAAGGGUGAUCCAGUUCUCAGGGUUUUCCUUGACGUCGUAUUUUUUGAGCUUCUCGAGCUUGAAAUUACGCAGCCAUAUGACUUGCCGGAGAUGCGAGGAGAACUGUUUUAAGCCUGGAGGGCCGUGAGCUGCAUCGUACUCGAAGUGGCACACGUUUUCGUGUGCCGCCCUAUCAUUGAUGCGUCUGUUGAUGCGCUCGCGGGCGUCCUUGUGAGAGAGGUUCUGCCGUAGAUCACGGGUUCUUCCCUGGUCUACCUCCUGGUCAUGCCCGCGUCGUUGCUCGUGGUUGCGACCGGCGUCCUGACCGCGGUCAUCGCGAUGAGCUUCCCUCCUACGGUCAUCAAUGGGCGAAUGGCUGCGGCGAUGACCGCUGGGUCGUGGUGAGGCCCGACUGUGAUGGGUCUGGUCAGAGGUGACCUACGUGUAGGAGAUGGCUUGAACCCUUUUGAGGAGAUCUGCAGUCUGUCCCAUGGUAGCAGUUAACUGUGCCCAGAUGUUAGUCCUAACAUCCCUAUAUUCUGGGGUGUCUGGGAGUCGGUCGAGGUUUUCCAUGGUGACAGCCACGUUAGCGCUUGGUGUCUUGAACACUUGCUGGUUCCCCACCAUGUCGAAGGCGUCGUCAAGGUUAUUCGGGACCACCUGCCACUGUUCUUCAUCUGCUCGUCGCUGAGCACGAUCGGUGUUGCGCUGCUCGCGCUGCUGCCUUUGCUCAUUGGUUUCUUCAUCGAUGACUGGUUCAUCGUUGCUAACAUUCAAAACCAAAUCUCCUCAUCAAGGUGGAAAAACCGGGAACCGGGGCAAACCCGGGGGGUAAGGCAGGAGAUCUAAGUCGUAAACUUCAUCCUCGGGGUGUACAACCUCGGUGGGGACAAAGCAUGUGCUGGAGUUUGUGCUGGCAGUUUUGUCCUCUGGCAAAGUACGGACAAAAACCAUAUUGAAAAAGUGGCGUGUCGGGCGCACUGUUGACGGUCCUUAAUGCUCACAUUUAACCGUCAACUAAUCAUAGAAAAGGAUCCAAAUGCAACCAACACCCAGACUUAGGGUUUUAUCUAACAGAAUUCCACGAGUUUUUGUGUUUGUCUAUUUCUGCAGGGGGUUACUAGGAAAUAUGGAGGAAAGGCCCACACGUCGAGUUUACAUAGAGAUAUUAACAUGUGCGGCAAUUUUCUAUCAUCUAGAAGACUCCAGAAGCCACGAGAACGAAGCGGAGGCAGAACAUGGCCUGGCCCAGGGCGCCUACCCUAGAGACCAGGGCGCCCGCCCACCUCUAGUGCCCAAUCAGGGUCAACUCCGCGGAUCAUGCUCCACUGACCUAAGGGAUCAAGGAAAACCGUGCGAUUAAUGUCGGUUUGAUCCGACGGCCCAGAUUUAUCUGAAAAGACUAUAUAAGCAAGGCCCCCUAGCCCCUAGAGAUCAUACCUCUUCUACAGAAUCAAAGUUAGGGUUUCAAUUCUUCAUCUAAGUAGAGAGGAUCCCUCUAGUUCAUCUAGUUCUAGCUCUAGUUCAUCUAGUUCUAGUUCAUCUGGUUCUAGUUCUAGUUCCUCUAGUUCUAGUUCUAGUUAGUUCUAGUUGUAAUAUAGAAAAUAAGGAGAGAGAAGAGGAGAGCGGAGGAGGAGCCGGAUCUGUCGGAUCUUCCUCAACAUUGUACUUUUGCAGCAACUGGUUCGUUCUUCAUCGUUCUCCAGGUUCUUCAAUUCAUAACUCCUGAGUUCUUUAAUUACUUUUAUUUACAUUCAAGUUAUUUAUUGGGUUCCCGCUUGCAUCAAGUGCUCUAGUCUUUGCAACGCUAGAGUAGUAAUAAUAGAUUAGACAUGGUGUUUAGUCUUGCAAUUACCUGGAAUUGCACCCAAUCCCGCGGAUUGUUGUGGUAGCCCUAGGGUAGUGACAGCCCUAACGGUCGAUGUAUUCCACCUCGUUUAGAUCGGUGUUUGUAGGACCGUAGUCAGAGCUUCCUAGCCCCCUUCUCAUUUCUUUAUGUGGUUAGUGUUCUGAUGUCCCGAAAUAAAUAAUCUUUGAAGUAAUUCUUGAUUCUUAGAUCAACUAGAGAACUCUCAGGAAACUUCCUCUCUUCCCACCAAAAAAUAAUUAUAUAGUUAUCCUUGGGCGAUCUUGAAUCUUAAUUUGUACACUCACGUUCCCUGUGGAAAAUCGAUACUCUGGAAUACUCCCGGGUGAAAGCUACAUCGGUAUCUGUGCGCUUGCGGAUUUUUCUGUUUGCGUUUAAAAUACCCAACAAGCUUUCUAGCGCUGUUGCCGGGCAACGGUAGUUGUGCUAGUUUCGAACCAAGUCGUCCGUGUAUCCUUUUUCUUUUCCUUUUUUACCACACUCACCUUACCAUUUUCACCAUACCACAUGGAUUUCACUCCUAUCUAUAAAUUCUUUGCUCCAAAGGGCGAGUUAUUAGAGCCACCACCAUCAUCGCAUCCUAUUCUUACAGAUGGCUAUGACCUCGGCCCUGAUCUAAUAGCCAUGAUUCAGGAGCAACCCUUCUCUGGGCAAGUAGAUGAAGAUCCAUACAUCCACCUUAGAGAAUUCGAGCAGUUGUGCUCUUGCCGAUCUAUUUCCGGCAUGACACAAGAAACCCUUAAAUGGAAAUUAUUUCCGUUCUCCCUUUUGGGAAGAGCAAAAAAGUGGUAUGCUCAUUCUGUAGGAGGCGUUAAUGGAAAUUGGGAUGAACUUCGGGACAAUUUUUGUCUCGCUUUCUUCCCACUUUUUCGAAUCGCUGACCUUAGAAUCGAAAUUCUUACAUUCAAAUAAAGAGAGAAGGAAACUUUAGGAGCAGCUUGGGCUAGGUUCACAAGCCUUAGUAAUUCCGGUCCAAACCAUUCCCAGCCUGACCAUGUAUUGUACUACCACUUUUAUCGUGGUCCAAACAAGGAAGCUGCUCUUCACCUCGAUGUUGCUUCAGGAGGCUCAUUCACACACAAACUCACAGAUGAGGGGAAAGCUAUCCUAGAGAGAAUCCUUGAAAAUACCCCUUACACAGACAUUUAUGAUGAGUUUCCUGAAGAAGAAAAAAAAGUCGAGCCUAAUCCUAAACCAAAAGAUGAGGAACUUGCAACCGAGUUAGAAAUUCCACCUGACCCAUCUCUUAAUUUGGUUGUAGAGAAACCUCCUGAUAAGGGAAUGCAAAACCAACUAAGGGAUGAUGAACCACCACGUUUAGAGCAUCCCUUUGAAUUCGAGGAAGAUCUUUUUGAAGAUUAUGGAAACACCUCGAAUUUUCGUAUCCAAACACGACCUCUAGCAGGGACCACUCAAUCCGUUCUAAGAGUAGAAUCUGUUGACAUAGAACACAUCAAAAGCCUUUCGGCUAUUCUGAGUUAUGAAUGGCUAAGAGAAGCAGAGCUGUCUCCUGAGGUAGCUCGGAUCAUCACUCCUUCAACCAUUCUUCCGUGCCAAAUUAGAGGGUCCGUUAGAAGGUCCACUACAAUCCAUAUGUUGGGAUAAAUUUUAUUUCCAAAGAGUUAGCUGACACUCUUUAUCCCAACGAGUCCAUAACGCCAUCUCAAAAACUUUUACAAAGUCCAUCUAGAUUAAUUCUAGAAAGCCAUGGGGUAUUAAGGGCAGUUCCUGUUAGAAUCAAGGACUCUGGAAUAUGUCUAGAUUUUCACAUUUUUGACAUACCGGAGCUUCCUCUCUUGAUUGGCAGACCAAUCAUGAAACUUCUACAAGAACACCCACAACGAGGUCAUUUAGACUUCAAGGUUGGGAAUUCCACUAUUGUUGUUCCUCUUGCUAGAUCAAUUAACACGAUAGUGGAACCCAAACUUGAACCAGAUCCUAUUGAGGAGAUCUUAAUGCUGACUCAAGAGGAGAUGGGCCAACCAUUCUUUAAUCAUGAACACUUUGUUCAAGAAGAAGAAGAGUUGUUAGAACCCGUUGAGCUAGACAAAAAUGAACAACCUUCACCUCCUUCGAUAGAGUUAAAACCUCUUCCUUCUGGCCUUAGAUAUGUCUUUUUGCACAACAACCCAAAAACUCUAGUAAUUAUCAGUGACAAGCUUUCCGAUUAUGAAACACAACAACUUGUCACUGUUCUUGAAAGGCAUAGAUCAGCAUUUGGCUACUCUCUCGAAGAUCUCACGGGCAUUAGUCCCAUUCUCUGCACUCAUCGUAUCCCUAUUGAUCCCAAUUUUACACCUUCAAGGGAACCGCAACGGAGACUUAACAAUGCUAUGCGAGAGGUUGUUAAGAAAGAGGUCCUCAAACUUUAUCAUGUUGGGAUUAUUUAUCUUGUGCCACAUAGUGAGUGGGUUAGCCCUGUUCAAGUAGUGCCAAAGAAAGGAGGAAUGACGGUCAUUAGGAAUGAGAAGAAUGAACUCAUCCCUCAACGAAUUGUCACUAGGUGGCGUAUGUUUAUUGACUAUCGAAAACUCAACAAGGCUACAAAGAAAGAUCACUUUCCGUUACCCUUCAUUGAUGAAAUGUUGGAACGGCUUGCAAACCACUCUUUCUUUUGUUUCCUUGAUGGUUAUUCUGGAUAUCACCAAAUCCAAAUCCACCCAGAUCACCAAGAAAAGACUACCUUUACAUGCCCGUAUGGAACUUAUGCAUACCGACGAAUGUCGUUCGGAUUGUGCAAUGCUCCAGCUUCUUUCCAACGGUGCAUGAUGUCUAUUUUCUCGGACAUGAUUGAGAAGAUCAUGGAGGUUUUCAUGGAUGAUUUUACCGUCUAUGGCAAAACCUUCGAUCAUUGUUUGGAGAAUUUAGAUAGAGUCUUGCAGCGAUGUGAAGAAAAGCACUUAAUCCUGAACUGGGAGAAAUGCCAUUUUAUGGUUCAGGAAGGAAUAGUGCUAGGACAUAAAGUGUUCGAACGUGGUAUAGAAGUGGAUAAAGCAAAGAUUGAAGUUAUUGAAAAACUUCCACCUCCCACGAAUGUGAAAGGAAUCCGUAGCUUUUUGGGACAUGCAGGGUUCUAUAGACGCUUUAUCAAGAACUUCUCUCAAAUUGCUAGACCCCUAACUAGUCUCCUAGCUAAGGAUGCACCUUUCAUCUUUAGUGAUGAGUGUCAUGAAUCUUUUCAAACUCUUAAGAAAGCACUCAUCUCAGCCCCGAUUAUCCAACCACCUGAUUGGAAUCUUCCUUUUGAGAUAAUGUGUGAUUCUAGCGAUUUUGCUGUUUGUGCCGUUUUAGGACAAACCAAGGAUAAAAAGCAUUAUGCCAUAUCCUACGUUAGCAAAACCUUGUCUGGACCAUAGCUCAAUUACACUACAACUGAAAAAGAGCUUUUGGCUGUUUUCUUUGCUAUAGACAAGUUUAGAUCUUCCUUAGUGGGGGAAAGAUAAUCAUCUAUUCAGACCAUGCUGCUCUCAAGUACCUCCUCACUAAGAAAGAUGCUAAGCCUCGUCUAAUUCGAUGGAUUCUUCUACUCCAAGACUUUGACAUAGAAAUGCGAGAUAGGAAGGGAGUUGAGAAUUCCGUAGCCGACCACUUGUCUAGACUUCAAUAUAAGGAAACACAUGAUGAGCUUCCCAUAAAUGACUACCUAAGGGAUGACACCCUGCUUAAGAUAACACAUGCAGAUCCAUGGUACGCAGACAUCGUCAACUUUAUAGUAAAAGGCUAUGUCCCACCCUGUACAAACAAAAGGAAGUUGCUUCACGAUAGUCGUUUCCACCUUUGGGAUGAGCCAUAUCUUUUCCGAGUCUGCGCUGAUGGAAUCUUGAGAAGGUGUGUUCCUAUGGCUGAGGCUACUCAAAUUAUGGAAAGAUGCCAUGCCUCGCCAUAUGGGGGACACUAUGGAGCAUUCCGGACACAUGCUAAAAUUUGGCAAAGUGGUUUUUUCUAGCCAACGAUGUAUGAAGAUACAAAGGACUUUGUCAGGAGAUGCCACCGAUGUCAAAAACAUGGGAAUAUCAACUCACGAAAUGAAAUGCCUCUCAUAAAUAAUCUUCAAGUAGAACUUUUUGAUGUAUGGGGCAUUGAUUUCAUGGGGCCAUUCCCUAUGUCCGGGAAUUGUGAGUAUAUCUUAGUAGCUGUGGACUACGUGUCCAAAUGGGUAGAAGCCCUACCUUGUAGAUCAGCUGAUUCAAAACAUGCCAACAGAAUGUUCCAUGAAGUAAUCUUUCCUUGCUUUGGUAUACCCCUGAUAGUUAUAAGCGAUGGAGGUUCCCACUUCAUUGACAAAAUCUUCCGGAAGUACCUAGCCGAUCAUGGAGUUCGACACAACGUCGCAACACCAUACCAUCCUUAGACUAGCGGUCAAGCCGAAACAUCUAACAAACAAAUCAAAAAUAUUUUACAAAAGACUGUAGAUGAGAUGGGUAAGGGGUGGAAGGACAAACUUCCUGACGCACUUUGGGCAUAUAGAAAUGCAUUCAAAACACCCAUAGACAUGUCACCUUAUCAACUUGUAUAUGGAAAAACUUGUCAUUUGCUUGUGGAUGUAGAGUUUAAGGCUCAUUGGGCACUCAAGAAACGGAACAUGGAUCUCCACCUCGCUAGCGAGAAUCGUCUGAUGCAACUAUCUGAGCUAGAAGAAUGGAGAGAGAAAGCCUACCACAAUUCAAGGAUCUAUAAAGAGAGAACAAAACGAUGGCAUGAUAAGAGAAUCAAGCACAAGGAGUUUAAGCCUAGAGAUAAGGUUCUACUAUUUAAUUCAAGAGUUAAGCUCUUUGGGCAUGGUAAGCUACGAAGGUCUGAGCUACUAUUCAACUUGUUCCAAGUUUCGCUAGAGUUCUGGAGAUUUUAUCUUUUGAAAAUCUAAAAAUGAUGAGAUCCUAUUUGACAUAAUACCUAGAGUCUUAUGAGAUAUAAAUAUUAAAACUGUGGGCACUUGCUUUGUUCAAGCCAUUGUUAAUUCUUGUAGUUUUGGUUGAGAGAAUUAUCAUGCUCCAAGGAUUAAGGUCUUUUUGUUUUAAACAUAUAAAAGAUUCACUCUUCCGAAGUAUUAUUGCGUUAGAGGCAUGGGACUAUGCAAAAAUUUGAUUCGAGAAAAAAGGAGAGUGAGACGAGAGGUAAAAAUGGACAAGUGUCCGAAGUAGAAUUAGGGGUACAAAGAUACCCACCUGAGUGGAAAAAAUGGACACGUGUCCGAUAGUAGAAUUAGGGGUACUGGGUGCCCACUUAAAAAAAGAGAGAAAGAAAAAAAAAUGAUAGCCCAUGGUCCCACUAAUAAGCAAUAUGCCUGUAAGAGAUGACAAACUUUUCAAAAAGGUCAAAGGUCUUGAUCUAGGAGUAUGACAUUCCUCUCCCCUGACUCCGAGCAUUGACAUAGCAAAAUGCAAAGUAAGUAUGCUAAAACUUUUUAAAGCUCUACUUAUAUAUCUUUCGAGAAGGCAAAUUCCUCAGUUUUAUUUUGGAAACUUACAAAAAAACUCCAGAACAAAGGUAAAACAGAAGAACUUGAGACAUAGUGCUUGACUUGAUCGUUCUGUUUUUCAAUCACUUAAGACCUUAGUGAUAACUUAAACCCUACAAUAAGAGGCAUAAAAGUAACCCCUGUUUUCUUGCUGAUUUUAGCUUUGCUCAGGGACGAGCAAAGGUUAAGCUUGGGGGAGCUUGUUGACGGUCCUUAAUGCUCACAUUUAAUCGUCAAAUAAUCAUAGAAAAGGAUCCAAAUGCAAUCAACACCCAGACUUAGGGUUUUAUCUGACAGAAUUCCACGAGUUUUGGUGUUUGUCUAUUUCUGCAGGGGGUUAUCAGGAAAUAUGGAGGAAAGCCCCACAUGUCGGGUUUACAUAGAGAUAUUAACAUGUGCGGCAAUUUUUUAACAUCUAGAAGACUCCAGAAGCCAUGGGAACGAAGCGGAGGCAGAAUGGGCCCUGGCCCAGGGCGCCUGCCCUAGAGACCACGGCGCCUGCCCACCUCUAGUGCCCAAUCAGGGUCAAGUUCGCGGAUCAUGCUCCACCGACCUAAGGGAUCAAGGAAAACCGUGCGAUUAAUGUCGGUUUGAUCCGACGGCCCAGAUUCAUCUGAAAAGACUAUAUAAGCAAGGCCCCUUGGCCCCUGGAGAUCAUACCUCUUCUAUAGAAUCAAAGUUAGGGUUUCAAUUCUUCGUCCAAGUAGAGAGGAUCCCUCUAGUUCAUCUUGUUCUAGCUCUAGUUCAUCUAGUUCUAGUUCUAGUUCAUCUAGUUCUAGUUCUAGUUCCUCUAGUUCUAGUUCUAGUUAGUUCUAGUUGUAAUCUAGAAAAUAGGGAGAGAGAAGAGGAGAGAGAAGGAGGAGCCGGAUCUGUCGGAUCUUCCUCAACAUUGUACUUUUGCAGCAACUGGUUCGUUCUUCAUCGUUCUCCAGGUUCUUCAAUUCAUAACUCCUGAGUUCAUUAAUUACUUUUAUUUACAUUCAAGUUAUUUAUUGGAUUCCCGCUUGCAUCAAGUGCUCUAGUCUUUGCAACGGUAGAGUAGUAAUUAAUAGAUUAGACGUGGUGUUUAGUCUUGCAAUUACCUGGAAUUGCACCCAAUCCUGCGGAUUGUUGUGGUAGCCCUAGGGUAGUGACAGCCCUAACGGUCGACGUAUUCCACCUCGUUCGGAUCGGUGUUUGUAGGACCGUAGUCAGAGCUUCCUAGCCCCCUUCUCAUCUCUUUCUGUGGUUAGUGUUCUGAUGUCCUGAAAUAAAUAAUCUUUGAAGUAAUUCUUGAUUGUUAGAUCAACUAGAGAACUCUCAGGAAACUUUCUCUCUUCUCACCAAAAAUAAUUAUAUAGUUAUCCUUGGGCGAUCUUGAAUCUUAAUUAGUACUCUCGUUCCCUGUGGAAAAUUGAUACUCUGGAACACUCCCGGGUGAAAGCUACAUCGGUAUCCGUGCGCUUGCGGAUUGUUCUGUUUGUGUUUAAAAUACCCAACACGCACAGGUUGUCGUGAUGAUAGGUCCAUCUCCCUGAAUAGAUGCUGAGUAUGACGUGACACCUAGUCGGCCGCGUUACUCAGACCAUGGGGAAGACUCCCAUCUGGGGAGUCGUUUUGAACUGAACAGUUCGUCCUUCGGGAGUGGUUGUUAUUGUCAAGGACAUCCCCAGCCGUUCGUGCAUGGUGGCACGAGUUGGUCAUCGGGAGUCGAAAAAGUUCGGUGCCGAUGCUCGAGCGGUCUGGUCUGAGAUUGAAUCCACCAGAUCGGAGACUACAAGAAGCCUAUGAUUGUCACGAUCGAUGGCUUCAAGUAGGUCAGAAUUGUCGACUCGUUUCCCUUUGUAGCGAGGAAGCAGAGGUCGAGUUGUCAGGGUCGUAGUGGUCGUGGUCGGUGUGAUCGGGACCACUACUUCCGCCAUUUCAGAUCGGAUCUGAUCCUCUUCCAAGGUGGUCGUGAGGCCGCCAGCGUGAGUCAUCCAGGUGAUCUAGCCGACGGUGAACGUGAGGCCUUCAGCCACGGCAGCAAAAGCAGGCAUGAUGACCAUCUUGUUCGUCUUGAGAACUAUACGCACACCCCCUUUCUGGCGUGCCACUGUCGAUUAAAGCGGGUCGGCAGUCUACCUUGGGGUAUACCCACGGUAGUAGUUUAUCGGUAGAUAGGUGUGCAAGCUACGAACUUGAUGGUGACGCAAGACACAGACAAGGAUUUUAUCCAGGUUCGGCUGCCGUGUGGGCAUAAUACCUACGUCCUACGUCUGAUUGUAUUACUAUAUGUUGAAUUGAAUUGUCUAAGGGGGGGUCCCUUGCCUCUCUUUAUAUAGUCUAGAGGGCAUGGUUACAGAUCUGGAAACUAAUCCUAGUCGGUUACAAUUGCUAUAGAUAAUGCGAUAUCAAUUCCUAUUCUAACCGACUAGAAUCUUGCUUGGUCUCCACGUCUUGUUUCCUUGCGCGAAACUCCGAGUAGUUGGAUCAAGCCUCAAACUGUCUUGUGAUGGGCCAAUUCUCCCAGCCCAAGUCUAGCCGUAAGGGUAUAGGGGUUUAUACCGCCACAACAUGUAUAUUUGGCUGUUGGAGGAAUUUUGAACUCUCAUCAUACAGAAACUCAUCAUGUAACAAUUUAAAACUUUUAAAUUAAAUUCUCCAUAACUCUAGUAUCUCUAGGAUUAAGAUUGAUAGCAGCUCAAAACCUUCCCAUACUAGACUUAGAUCAAGCAUUCACUACCCACAAGUUUUAGGCUCAGAGUAAAGUCUUAAGUCUAAACAAUUGUGUCCAAAACUCAGAAGAGUACAAGGUUGAAAACUAGAUACUUGCAAGGAAUUAUAGCAGAGCAACUAUUCAUCAUCUCCAUAUAAGAGUUUAUUCUAGAGGUUCAUUAUAAUAGAUUCAUUAAGAGCUCUCCUUACCUUGCUAGAUUUAUUAUGAAAGAUAAAAUAUUUAUUAAGUUUCUAAAGUCAUUCAUCUUUAUAUCUUAUCAUAACACACAAAGAAUAAAUUAAUAAGUGAGUAAGGGAUACUUAGCUCGAUGUACGGGGGUUGCUCUCCCCCAAGCUGGAUGUUGACAUAGUCCGUUUGUGUUGCUGAGUGGCAAUGAAGGUGUACUAGUCCUCCUAGAGUGUUAGGGAUGAUGGCUAUCGAGACAACACUAUGACUGUUGAAGACAACACUCCAACAAGGGAUAGGAUGUCCUUCUGCCUGUUAGCUCUUCUUGAUCCUUUAAAUUCCGUGAAGCUCAAAUAGACAACAAAGCUUGUUGAACUGAUUAUGUGUUAGUGGUAAAACCCCUAAGCCUUGGUUAUCUAUAACCUUCUUAAUAUAUUUAUCUUUUAGCCGGAUCAUAUAUUUCUAUACUUUUUAUAUUUAUGAUAUGCAGAUAGGAAAAUAAAUAUGCUGAAAUUUAUUUUUAUGCCACUAUAGUAGAUAAGUGUGUGGGCUGUUGCAUCACACAUCAAAUACAUGGGGCUUAGAAUUUUCUAGAUGUAAUGCAUGACAUAUUUAUUUUCUUUCUCUAUUGCAGAAAUAGUAAAGUUGGUGUGCAACUAAUUAUACAUUUAAGGAAAAUUAAAUAUGCUGAAAAAAAUUAUGCAGUGCUCAAAAGGAAAAUGUUGAUAACUACCAAGCUACCUCUUGGCACUGUGUUUAGUGUUUUAGGUCCUUCGAAUAGGAUCUCUUACCAUGCUCAUUCCUUAGGUGCUUUAUCUGGUCCCAUAGAUGGAGACCAUGAUUGUUGCACCCCCUGUGAUGGUGUCACCUAUGUUUAUUGCUCUUCCAACGAGUUGGAGUUAAGUACCUUUUCUGGAGCUAGCAACAUCUUCACUCAUUGUACAUGUUCAUAGGUCUAGGAUCUUCACUUGUAAGAUUCUUGGGGAGUUGAUUAAAGUGUACCCUGCUCAUAGAGAUAAGGCAGAGAUCAAGUACAUGGGCUCUGUUGUUGGGAAAACACCAACAUAUCCAAAAGGUCUGUUUAUUAUACUCUAGCCUUUGGCACAUUGAACAAGAUAAAGUUGAUAUAUGUGUUUUGCUCUAUCUGAACAUGGGUGAUAGGAACAAAUGAUUAGCAAGCUUGUAGCAUUAAAACCCUUGGCAUAUCAGAUUAACAUUAUGGAAUGAUAGUUUAUUUAUGCAUAUAACUACAUGAUUAUGACUAUCGUCUUCCAAAGAUAGGAUGUGCAAUAUUUCAGAUCAUUGAAUUAAAAGCUACAAGAUCAAGAAAGUGGUUCUAGGAACAAGCAUAAAGAACUGAACAUAUUGAGCUAAUUAGAUUGGAUCAAAUGAGGUUGUAACUCAAAGCAUGUUUGGCUCUCUACUUAUGUGCAUGCCAGAAUCAAGGAAGAUAAUUUGGAUGUAAUAAUCACUAACCAAGAGAUGUUACCUUUAGUAUUGACGUAUGUUGAAGCUAAAACAUCUUGUGGAAGCUUUCCUUGUUUGGCUAGUUAUGUGUCUUGUUCAUAGAUAGCCUAUCUUCUUUGUUGUACUCCUUUCUUAUGCCAUUAUUUGUUCUCUGUCUAAUUUGUGCUUGGACCUUUAGCUCUUCUUAUUAUUUUAUCUCUACAAAUCAUUAGUGGACAACACAUACCUGAAGGAGUAUACAAGUAAUGACAAGGGCAUUGUUGUAACAUAGAGCUAAGGGUCACUUUCUAUGCUACAAAUUUUUUUAACAUACUUAGCAUAACACAUUUCUUAUUCACAGUUACUUAUUUCUAAAGGAUUGAUUUUAUUUUCCCAUCUUAUGUUUAAAUAUAGGCAUUAUGAAUCAACUCAAACUCAUAGAAAUAAAAGCAUUAGUGAAAUUAGAGAUUGCAAACCAGCAUGUGGAGGGAUGAGGAAGAACUUGGUUGGAUCAUCUAGAGGAGUUGACCUUUCUUCCUUAUGUCUUAGCUUCUCGACCUCAGAGGUGAGAGUAUAGAACGUUACAUGCUCUUCUCGACCUCAGAGGUGAGAGUAUAGAACGUUACAGCAUUGUGUUUAGUCUUUUCUUGAUUCCUGAUAAUUAGUGGUUGAUAAGAGAAUGCAACUCCAUGGAAUGACUUGUGUUUCCCUUGUGCAAAAUUCUUCAUCUCUGAUAUGAGUUCAUCUCAUGACUUUCCCAUUUUGGAUUUGAUAGUUUUUCCUACAUGGUUAGUCGAACAAAAUAUUCCAAUAUUUACUAAUGCAUACUAUCAGCUCAAAAAUCAACCUAGACACCAUGUCUAGUUUGAUUUAAGAAGGCAUUUUAACCACGCGUAAUUAAAAGCCUUUGAGAGUAAGAUCACCACUCCUAAACUAGGCACCAUGCUUUGUUUAAGAGAUGUAUGAAACUACUCCAAACCUAAACAUAUACUAUAGCAAACAAAGGUAACUUGAGAGCAUUAUAGAGAUUUACUCAACAGUGAUGAUAGAGUAUGAUCGCAGUGAGAAAUAUUUUUUUUAUAUAUUUUUUACGCAGAUGAUUUGUAUGCAUGCAAGGAACUAAACAUGAUGCGAAUUUGAUAUGAGAAAACUAAAUGAAGUGGAUGCAUGGAUGAUUCAAAGUAAACAUGCAGUGGUAUGCAAGGAAAUAAAAAUAUAACUACUCAUAAGGUUUAAAGCCCAACUUGAUCAUACUUACCAUGAUGCACAGCUGGGAUGAGUGGUGUAGCGUAAAUAUCCGUCACAUGGGAUGGGAGUUGUAUUCUUGUGAUGACGAUCUUUUCUCCAAUCUACACAUGGUUAGAAUAAAUAAUAUAGUGUAUACACAAACCUAUGAGAUGGCAGGGUUCUAGAAUUAAUGAUGGAUCUUGAAUAUUGAGGCACCCAGGGUUCUUCAAUCUUGUGGAAACUUGUCACAAGGUCAAAACGACAUCUGACGUCUUGUCUAUUCCACACUCAAUAGAACAAAGGGGUAAUCCUACUAAAGCUAGUGGUAUACUAAAUUAGCAGACAUCAAGAUCAUUAUCAAAAUCUUUAUGCCAAUUGCUUUUUUGGCAAGGAUGACAAAAAUGCUUGUUGGCAUUUCUUAGCGCAAUCACCAAAGAUAGACAAAAAGCCUACUCCCCGGCAACCGCCAAAAAUAAUUGUUGACAUUUGUUGGUGCAAAAAGAAAUAUGAAAGAUUCCGCAAGCGCACAGAACAUCAUCGUCACAUUUUACCGGGAGUAUUCCAGGUAUCGUUAUUUAUAUUUUACCACAGGGAAGCUAGGGCUAAGAAUAUGAUAAUUCACUAUCCUACAUCUACUAACUUAGAGUAUCAACUAAACUAAAGCAGGGGUAAAUGAUAUACUAUAAGAAUAAACAAUUAAGCACAUAUAAGAGAAUUCAAUGAUAAAUGUAUAGAUAGUCGUAGCAAGAGGACAACGGGAAAGAUCAAGGUUCCUUUGUACUUCUCUAUUACUUCGGUUCUAAGGCAAUAGAAUAUGAAAAGAUACAACAGUCAUACAAUGGCACUUUGGAGCAACAGUACCUUUCCAUCUCUUUAAGAAGACUGGGAAGAAAGUAGUUAGGGGAAGGCUGCCAAAAGCUCUACGAAACAUCAAUCCGAACAUGGUUGAAUACAAAGGCCUCAUAGGACUAUCACCCCUAGGGCUACCACAACUAUCCGUGGGAUUGAGCGCAACCUCAAGGUAAACUACAACCUAGUCACCACAUCUACACUAGCGUUUACUACUCUAAUUACCAUGAAUAACUAGAGCACUCAAUAUGAGCAGAGAUCCCAUGCCAAGAUAUAACAACUUGUGGCAGAACCACCUGAAUUAUAUGGCCCACAUGCACCUAUCAUUGUCCUUAAGACCUCUGAUUACUGCACAUGAGAGUCAUAUAACUCAGAUAGUCUGUCGAGUGCCCUCAGAGGACCCCGAAUCAUCCACAUUUUAUAACUCAUACAGGAUCAACAUGGAGUUACCACAACAUUACUGUUGACACUAGCUAACACCACUUAGAUACUAGGUUGUCAUCCCUAGCAUGGCGCCAGAGUGUACAAAGGUAUUUAUAAAUGUAAAGGCUCUCUAGAAAAUAAUCUAUUCUAUCCGCAAGCGCACAGAUAAAACACCUCAUUGUAGCAUUUCACCAGGAUAAGUAUUCCAGGUAUCGUUAUUUAUAAUUUUGCUCAAGGGAUCUAAAGAAGAUGGAAUUAAAUCAAGGGACAAAAUCUAUCAAGGCAUAGACUAGAGAUAAACUUGCAAGAACAUGAUUACUAAUAAGAAACUCGUCACACAGUCACAUACUUAAGCAGGGGGUAAACCAUAAAGAUAAUGAUAAUAAAGUAUAAGUUCAUGGGUAGAUGACACAGCGAUUAGAAAAUAGACUACUCCUCAUAUAUGUAGGUGAUGUCGGAUUAGCUAGAGAAUGGAUUCUAAGUUAUCUACUAACUACUAAGUCAUAAUCUACUCUAGUUAUCUACAAAAUCAUAUAUAGCAUAAAAGACUCUUCAUUCAUGUAUAAGGAACAUUGAUAAAGUAAAUCAGAGCAUCGCAUGACUUACUCCACAAUACCGGUUCUGCCUGUCCUAUCAACGGAGGGUGGACUAUAUAAGAAUCAACGAAGCUGUCACUAUCGCGAACUACCACACGACCCGGCCAAUAGGAUACAUUUGCAGAUAAAUAACAUCUAAGCACCACGCUCACAUGUGAUCUAUCACCUAACUCCCUCGCGACAAGAGCUAAGCGCUUUGCAAACUUAUACAUAAACUCAUUAUCAAUUAGAACUAUAUCAAAUAUAGAACUAGAGCAAACUAAGAACAUAAUAAUUAGAGACAUAAUGCAAUUAGAACAAUAGAAUUAGAGAAAGAUAUGAAUAAUACCAAUCUUUAUUACCGAAGAUCCGAAUCCAGAGCGUAGUGCUCUACUUCUCUAAUUGAUAUCUAAUCAACCUCUAAACUUGAAGGAUUAGGGAGUAGCUAAUUCUAAUUCUCUGUGGGAGAGAAGCUCUAAACCCUAACUUCAAUGGCUACCUCUGAAUAAUGAUUUCUCCUCUCUUCCUCCAGGGGCCAGGGGGUCUGGUUUUAUAGUCCCCUCAAGUGAACAUGAGCCAUUGGAUCAAACCGACAUAGAUUGUAUGGUUUAGAUUGAUCCUUUAGGUCGGUGGAGCGUUGUCCCGAAGCAGAGUCCUGUUUGGCCUCCAACCCUGGGCGGGCGCCCAAGGGGGGUGGGCGGGCGCCCAGCCCCCGAGCCCGAAUCGCCUCCCGUUCGUUCCCGUGGCUUCUAGAUCCUUCUAGAUGGAGAAAAAUUGAGCGGCACGUAAUUAUCUCGUUGUAAACAUGACAUGUGGGCCUUCUCUCCAUAUUUUCUGUUAAACCCCUGCAGAAAUAGAUAAACACCAAAACUCGUGGAAUUCUGUCAGAUAAAACCCUAAUUCUAGAUGUUUGUUUCAUAUUGAUCCUUUUUCAUGUUUAUUUGAUUAUUAAUUUUAGUACUUAAGGACCGUCAACAAACUCCCCUAAGCUUACCCUGUGCUCGUCCCUGAGCAAACAGCUAAACUCAGACGGAUCAGGAGUUGCUUCGAUGUUUUCUUUCCUGACAGGCACACAUGCUUUUACAUAAAAAUUCUUCCAGAUUAGAGUGAAGUGUUAUGGAGUUUAGUACCUGCACUUAAAUCUUAAGUAAUUGAAAGACAAAAUAGUUAAGUCAAGCACUAUCCCUCCUGUCUAUAGUUCACUUUUGUUCUAGAGUUUUUUCAUAAGUUUUCAAAAUAAAACUCAGAGUUCCUAGCAAUAAUCUCUUAAGUCUCUCUAUAUGUGGUAUUUGUGGAUCCUUACCAUGAUAUCACUUACCUAUAGCUAAUGGAAUAUUUAAGUGGAGCUCAUAGGAGUGGAAAACAGCUCAUACAUAUGUUGUCUAAUCGAGCCAUGGAUCCAAAGGAACUCAGCAUAUAAUUAAAUCAAGAUGUGCAUGUGUGAUGGAGUAAAUGAUAGUGAUGGUGAAAAUGCAUAAGUGAUAAUAGUAAAAUUUAGUUCUCAUUGCUCCUUAUAUUGCUAUCUCUCCUCUUCUUUGAUCUUUGCCUUGGGAGAACAUGGGCUAUCUUUUUCUUUUCAUUUCUCUUUCUUUUUUUUCAGGUGGGUAGUAGAUACCCCUAAUUCUACUGUCGGACACUUGUCCAUUUUUUCCGCUCAAGUGGGCAUCUUUGUACCCCUAAUUCUACUUCGGACACUUGUCCAUUUUUACCUCUCGUCUCACUCUUUUUCUUUCUUUUCCCGAGGUUUCCGGGCACUUGCCCCUUUUUAUUUCCUCGUAUAUUUUUGCAUAACCCAUGCCUCUUCUGCAUUGAAUCUUUUUAGAGAGAGAGAAUAACAAUACUUGGGACAGUGAGUGAUUAUAUUUUUAGCAAUUUUAAUGAAUGGUGGUGGAUGCUGUGGUAGAUGUGUGCAAGUGCAUAUCUUAAUUUAACCACAUGAAAAGCUCCUAAGGGUCGACACAGCUCGAUCAAACUCAAUGUAAAUAUAGUAAAAGAUGUUAUAGCAAGUAUGGCUGUGGUAGGUAGUUUGUUAUGCUAGGAACUCAUCAUGUGAUUUGUAAGUUUUCAAAAUAAAUCUCCAGAACUUAGUGUAGUAGGAACAAGAUAAACAGUGGAUCAACUUUAUAUCAUGCCUUUCUCUCACCUAGACUUUAGUUUUAUGCUUCCCAAAGAUAGUAAUUUUAGUUUUAGUAAUUCCUGGAAGAAUUCUAAUAUAAAAGCAAGUUACUUGUAAGUAAGCAAAUAGAGCAACUGUUCAUCAUUUCCAUCAUGCAUAUUUUUGGUCUUUUUAUUUUUUCUAGAGAUUAAACUUAGUAAAAAAAUAAAACACACUUAUCUACACACUCUUUUUAUUUUGUUUUCAUGUUUAUAAAGUGCAGUAAAUUAAAGCAAGAAAAUAUUUAUUUGGUUUUCUAAGUUUUUCCUUUUAAGAUAAAUUAAAUACUAAGAUAGAAUAGUAUAAAUAAGAAGAGCAAAUAAAAACUUACUUGAUAAAUUUGGGAGGAACUCCCCCAAGCUGGAUGUUGCCGUCGGUCUUACCCGAUGUUCCAGAACCGCAUCAUGGUUGUGAUGUUGUCGUUCAUUGUUGUUGUAUCUUGUCUCAGCUCUUCUACUGCAGCGGCAUGGUCCUGGUUCCAUUUUUGUUGCUCUUCCAGGAGUCUUCCAUGUUUUGCUUGCGUGUUCUGGAUGUCGAGGAGGGUGUUGUCGGUACGAGUGAAGAAAGCACUGGCCUCUUGAUAGUAGUCAUUUGUGAAGGCGUAGGAGGCGUCGGAGUAUCGUUCUGCAUCAAAUUGGGGUGGAGGUCUGGAUCCUGAAGCUCCAUAUGGAUCAGUGGAGUACCUGCCCGUAUGAAAAGGCGGGUUUGUCCACUGGUGAUCUUGGCUCCCCGGCCAUGUCUCCUCUGUUGGCUCUUGUGGUUGCGCAUGACGAGCCCAUGGGUCUCGAAGGACUCGAGGGUUGUAAUCGCAAUAAUGCAGGUGUGCUGCUUCUUCUGGUCCAGGGUCAGCUCCAUACCAAGUGCGUUCUCGGUGAGUGGUUAUCCUUUCAGAUGCCACUCGCUGUGGAGUUCUCUGGUUCACUGGUGUUGCUGCAAUCUCAAUCAAAAAGUUUUGCACAGAGUAGAGGCCAAGGUUCGGGUUAGGUAACCGAAUCUUGCCUUUAUCAUCAUAUAGCAUAUACAUUAUAUUCCCCUCUUUCUUUAACAUCCGAGCUUGUCUAAAUGUGUCAUAGCCAUGGUAAAUUCUGAAUUCUUCUACGAAGUCCAACGAUGAGUUUUCUAGUAAGUGAAGAUUAGUGGCUAGACGAGUGAUAAGUGAAGUACAUCCUACUGGUCCCUAAAGACUAGGUAUACUAAGCCAAUGUCAAACUAAUAGUGUAAUAGGUGAAGUGGGUAUUUUACUAAUAGCAGCAUAUAAAAGUUGUAAAUCUCCUACUCUCACUUUCCUAAUAUCAUCACGAUAGAAAAGAUUGUACCCAAGCCAUUUGUGAAACAUCCUAAGAGUGGGGUGUUCCAUGUCACUGGUUCGGGCUUGACUAUAAAAAUUAUCUCUAGAUAUUUCUCUCCAAAACUGGUGUCUCUCAAAAUUGGGUAAAUCGGAGUCAAUGUUCAGGAUGCAUCUUGAAGAGAAACCAAGAUGGUCGCUCAGCUCUCUCCAAGAUAAUAUAAUUUCCUGUUUAAACAUCCGAAAAACAAUUCCCCCCUCAUAGUAUUGUAAAGUGCAAAGAAAUUCGAGGGUGAGAAGACGAGAACCCAGCUCAGUUAUAUUCCAAAAAUUUGUCCAACCCAACAUCUGGAAAAUUAAGUCAAAUUCAGUGUCCAUACCUGUUUCUUGUAGUAGGGUUGGAUCGAUAGUAGGGGUGUGAAUGAAAUCUUUGUUCUUCAGUUGCUGAUAGACUUCCUUCUCUCUUCGGGUCUUCAGUCCUAGGUCUCCUAUCUUGAGAAGGACCUUAACUUGCUGACCUGAUGAAGAUGAUGGAGCUUGCGUGGGUGUCGGGUCGACGCUCAUCUCUGAUGGCUGUGAGGAGUGUCGGGAUGAACUCCUUGUACCAAUGUUCUUAAGAGCCUUCCCUGCAUUCUUCACCUUCUUAAACAUCCUGCAAACAAAAGUUGGCAAAAACACAACUGGUGGAAAAUGUGAGAUAAAAUGUUAGUGGUCAGCUGUCCGGAGUGUUAGUAGUCCAGGGGUUAAUCAUUCAAGUCAAGUUUCUAUUUUGGUAGACCCUUCCCCUAAAUAACUUUUACUUCCGGUUGGACAGCGGGAUCACUAUUUGCUAAGUGACAAUCACUUUCUCAAAAGAACUCCAACCUUCCCUUCCACUCUCCUCUUUCUCUCUACUCUCUUCUCUUCACUACAAAAGCUCCUUCUCGGGAAACUGAGAUUUGUGUGGUUUUCUGAAGUGUGUGUGUGAAGAGAAGGGGAGCUGGAGGUGGCCUUUUAUAAGCUGAGCAGGGGACAGGGCGGGCGCCCUUGGUAGUUGGGCGGGCGCCCUCUUGUGAUGCCCAUCCUGGGUGUGCCUCCUCCACAUGUUUCCUUGCUUUGAUCUCACACAGAAUAAUGUUGUGUUGGUGGUGGUUGGACGGUGGAAAGAUGUCAAGUGAGUGGAAACAUAUUGGUGGAUGAAAUUAUGUGACGGGAUGUAUGUGAGAUGAAGUGUAUGACAUGUGGGACCCAAAGAGUGUGGGUCAUGCUUCUAGAAGAUUUAUAUGAUUAAAUAUAAUGCAGGAAAAUCUAUGAGAAUCGAAACUUAUUGAAAAUGAUAUUGGAAAAUAUUUUUGUGCCCCCACAAUAAUUAAUAAAUAUGGGUUGUUACACACCACGAAUAUUAUUUAUCUGGGGCUUUUUGAUUAUUAUAAUAAUGCUAUGAAUAAAUGUGACUAAUGCAAGAUUUAAUUAUGCAAGAAAUUAAAUAUGAGAAAAAUAAUAAUGCGGAUAAAUACCGAUUUACCUCCCGGUGAGGGUUUGGGAUUUUUAGGUCCCCCAAGCUGGACCUCCAAUUCUUUUAAUCUUCUGAGUUUCCUUCCUCCGGAGAUGGUGUCUCCAGUGGUUCUUCAUGAACUUCCUUCACUGAAGAGUCUCUCUCUGGUCUGGGUUUGAAUGUGAAGUGUUCUUCUUGUCCGUUUAUGUUGAACUUGAUUUUUCCCUUCCCGACAUCAAUGUGGGCAUUGGCAGUGCUCAGAAACGGCCUUCCAAGGAUGAUGGAUACUUUCAAGUCAGGACUCAUGUCCAGUACUACGAAGUCUACUGGCACAAGGAAAUCUCUGAUCUUGACUGGAAUGUUCUCGGCGAUGCCCAACGGGUGUCGAACCGAUUGAUCCGCUAGUUGUAGGCACAUUGAUGUUGGUUCUAAGGUUGCAUGCUCAAGCUUUUUGUAGACUGAUGCUGGCAUCACACUGACACUUGCUCCGAGAUCACAAAGUGCAUUGUUGAAGUGUUGGUUUCCGAUCGAGCAAUCAAUAGUGGGGCAUCCUGGAUCUUCCUUUUUCUUUGGUGGUUUGUUGAGGAUGGCCGCACUACAUUCUUCUGUCAGCUUGAUAACCUCAGUGGUGGGCAGUGGUCUCUUCUUUUUAAGAAUAUCUCUGAUGUACUUUGCAUAUGUAGGUACCUGUAUGGCAUCGAGCAGAGGUAUGUUGACAUAUAAUUUCUGAAUGACCUCUACAAACUUACCAAACUGCUCAUCCGACUGCAGUCCUCUGUUUCUUCUGGGAAAUGGCAAAUAGUUGGUGUCGUAAAAAUCUUUCCUUAUUUCUCUAGUUCUUGGUGGUUGGAGCAGAUCUUCUGCUUCAACUGGGCUUUCUUCUUCUAUCACUGCUGGUUGCACUGGUGCUGAUGUUCUUUGUUUCUCUUUUGGGUAUGGUGGAUCUCUGGUGGCUUUGCCUCCUCCAGUAGUUAUAUUCUUUACCUGCUCAAUGUUAGUAGCAACAGGCAGUGCAGCAGCUAUCUUUAUUAAUUUAAGCUCUACCCUUUUAUUAAGAGUGUUUUGCUCAUCAAAGGCAGUUAGUAGAAAAUUCAUUUUAUUGUGUAUAUCUUUUAGAGAUGAUUCAUUUGUAUCUAGCCUUUGUUUAACUUCAUCAUUAAUUUUGGUUUGUUGAGCAAUUAUCUCUUUUAAUGAAAGUUGCUUGAAAGUAUUACCUGAAUUCAUACCUUUGCUAUUGGAUUGACUCGAAGUUGGUUGAUAUUUGUAUGCUGUCUCAAUGGCCCUUUGAUCUUCUUUAAACUUGGCCCUCUGGUCAAUCCAAUGGAGCAAAUUUUCCAUCUUAGUUGAUAAUGCUUUUACUUCUUCUGGUAUUUCCUCAGUUUGAUGACAUUGUUGAGCUUUAUCUUGGAACCAGCUUUGGUUUUCUGCUAUCUUAUCCAAAAGUAUCUCUGCUUUUCCAGUUGUAAGCUCCAAGAAUGAUCCUUUAGCAGAUGCAUCUAGGCACUCACGAGUCUUCUGGGUUAAUCCAUGGUAGAAGGUCUGCAUAAGUAACCAUGUGGCCAUUCCAUGGUGAGGACAAUCUGAUAUGUAUCCUUGAAAACGCUCCCAUGCUUCUGAAAUGGCUUCUGUCUUCUGCUGUUGGAAACUGACAAUAUUUCCUCUUAAGGCAGUUGUUUUGCCUAUAGGGAAAAACUUUGAUAGAAAGGCAUCUGACAAGUUCGUCCAGUUGUUGAUGUUAUCUUGAUGAGUGUAGAACCACUUCCUCGCUUUCCCUUCUAGUGAGAAUGGAAAAAGGCGAAGUAGUAUGAUGUCUUUGUCAACUCCGUUGAUGUGGAUUGUGCUUCCAAUCUCUAAGAAAUUCUGCAAGUGUGCACUGGCAUCUUCAUGUGCCUUUCCACUGAAUUGUGUAGCUUGUACCAAAUUGAUGAGGCUUGACUUGAGCUCAAACUCAUGUAUUCCUUCUUCUACUGCAAAUCUUGGACCAGUUGGAAUGUUCUCAAGGCUUGGAGCAGAGAAUUCUUGCAAGGUCUUUUGUGCCAUAGCUUCAGCAAUUGGUAGCUAGCUUCUUCUUCUCUUGAUUGCUUUGGUUCUGAUGAUGGAGAGUUGAAUGUACCCAAAGUCAAUCCUGUUAUACCCUGUAUAAAAAUAUAAACAUAGAAAAACAACAGGGUGAACCUGCCAAAGCAGCGGUGCCUUGUUAUGAUUUCUCACUUAGUAGCUGUUUUUAUGCAAUUAUUUCUCUAUAGUCUAGUCUAAAAUCUUAUAUGAAUAACCUUGAUUGAUUUUCUGGCUUUCCUUAAUAUUACCCUUUUGUUCCCUUUAAUGACUUAUUCCUGAGACUCAUAUAAUUCCAAUAAGAUCCUAUAAAUUCCUAUAAAUCCCCGGCAAAAGCGCCAGAAAUGCUUGUUGACACUAGCUAACACCACUUAGAUACUAGGUUGUCAUCCCUAGCAUGGCGCCAGAGUGUAUAAAGGUAUUUAUAAAUGUAAAGGCUCUCUAGAAAAUAAUCUAUUCUAUCCGCAAGCGCACAGAUAAAACACCUCAUUGUAGCAUUUCACCAGGAUAAGUAUUCCAGGUAUCGUUAUUUAUAAUUUUGCUCAAGGGAUCUAAAGAAGAUGGAAUUAAAUCAAGGGACAAAAUCUAUCAAGGCAUAGACUAGAGAUAAACUUGCAAGAACAUGAUUACUAAUAAGAAACUCGUCACACAAUCACAUACUUAAGCAGGGGGUAAACCAUAAAGAUAAUGAUAAUAAAGUAUAAGUUCAUGGGUAGAUGACACAGCGAUUAGAAAAUAGACUACUCCUCAUAUAUGUAGGUGAUGUCGGAUUAGCUAGAGAAUGGAUUCUAAGUUAUCUACUAACUACUAAGUCAUAAUCUACUCUAGCUAUCUACAAGAUCAUAUAUAGCAUAAAAGACUCUUCAUUCAAGUAUAAGGAACAUUGAUAAAGUAAAUCAGAGCAUCGCAUGACUUACUCCACAAUACCGGUUCUGCCUGUCCUAUCAACGGAGGGUGGACUAUAUAAGAAUCAACGAAGCUGUCACUAUCGCGAACUACCACACGACCCGGCCAAUAGGAUACAUUUGCAGAUAAAUAACAUCUAAGCACCACGCUCACAUGUGAUCUAUCACCUAACUCCCUCGCGACAAGAGCUAAGCGCUUUGCAAACUUAUACAUAAACUCAUUAUCAAUUAGAACUAUAUCAAAUAUAGAACUAGAGCAAACUAAGAACAUAAUAAUUAGAGACAUAAUGCAAUUAGAACAAUAGAAUUAGAGAAAGAUAUGAAUAAUACCAAUCUUUAUUACCGAAGAUCCGAAUCCAGAGCGUAGUGCUCUACUUCUCUAAUUGCUAUCUAAUCAACCUCUAAACUUGAAGGAUUAGGGAGUAGCUAAUUCUAAUUCUCUGUGGGAGAGAAGCUCUAAACCCUAACUUCGAUGGCUACCUCUGAAUAAUGAUUUCUCCUCUCUUCCUCCAGGGGCCAGGGGGUCUGGUUUUAUAGUCCCCUCAAGUGAACGUGAGCCAUUGGAUCAAACCGACAUAGAUUGUAUGGUUUAGAUUGAUCCUUUAGGUCGGUGGAGCGUUGUCCCGAAGCAGAGUCCUGUUUGGCCUCCAACCCUGGGCGGGUGCCCAAGGGGGGUGGGCGGGCGCCCAGCCCCCGAGCCCGAAUCGCCUCCCGUUCGUUCCCGUGGCUUCUAGAUCCUUCUAGAUGGAGAAAAAUUGCGCGGCACGUAAUUAUCUCGUUGUAAACAUGACAUGUGGGCCUUCUCUCCAUAUUUUCUGUUAAACCCCUGCAGAAAUAGAUAAACACCAAAACUCGUGGAAUUCUGUCAGAUAAAACCCUAAUUCUAGAUGUUUGUUUCAUAUUGAUCCUUUUUCAUGUUUAUUUGAUUAUUAAUUUUAGUACUUAAGGACCGUCAACAAUUACCACAUUUGUUACAAAAAUAACUUACAUCGGAGUGCGGAAGAUUUAUAACUCAAUUUACAACAUAUGAUGGAAUAUAAACAACUAAAUUUUCAAAAGGUGUGUAGAGUAGCGGAAGCAUCUUAGGUGAAGCUUCUAAGGUAGAAGAGGUGGACAAAUCAUGUCGCGACCACCAACAUGACCUCCAUUAGCAGCAUAAGUCAGCACCUACAACAGGGUUUAUAGAACCCUGAGUACGGGAGUACUCAACAAGACUUACCCAUUAGAAAAAGAGAACUUAGGAAUGCAGGCUCAGGGUAGACAAGGGGUGGCUGAGUAAGGAGCCAAAUUGUUUUGCUGAAAAGCUUACUAAUAGUGCAUCCUUACUUUCAAGUUUUAACCACGAAUUCCUCUCCUCAAGAGGUCGAGGAGUUCGAGGACAGUCUAUCUAAUUGCUUCUCACAUACAAGUCUGUAUGUUCCUAGUCCUUAAUCAAAGUAUUAUCCAUCCAACGGCCAUAGCUUCAUGUCACUCUGAGUCCGGGAAUUGGGAUCCUGUGGCAGAACCACCCUAAUUAUAUGGCCCACAUGCACCUGUCAUUGUCCUUAAGACCUCUGACUACUGCACAUGAGAGUCAUAUAACUCGGAUAGUCUGUCGGGUGCCCUCAGAGGACCCCGAAUCAUUCACAUUUUUUUACUCAUACAGGAUCAACAAGGAGUUACCACAACAUUACAACAUUUGUUACAAAAAUAACUUACAUCAGAGUGCGGAAGAUUUAUAACUUAAUUUACAACAUAUGAUGGAGUAUAAACAACUAAAUUUCCAAAAGGUGUGUAGAGUAGCGGAAGCAUCUUAGGUGAAGCUUCUAAGGUAGAAGAGGUGGAUAAAUCAUGUCGCGCCCACCGACAUGACCUCCAUAGCAGCAUAAGUCGGCACCUGCAACAGGGGUUAUAAAACCCUGAGUACUGGAGUACUCAACAAGACUUACCCGGCGGGAAAAGAGGAGACCUUAGGAAUGGAGGCUUAGGGUAGACAAGGAGUGGCUGAGCAAUGAGCCAAAUUGUUUUGCCAAAAAGCUUACUAAUAGUGCAUCCUUACUUUCAAGUUUUACCCACGAAUUCCUCUCCUUAAGAGGUCGAGGAGUUCGAGGACAGUCUAUUUCUCCUUAAGAGGUCGAGGAGUUCGAGGACAGUCUAUCUAGUUGCUUCUCACAGACAAGUCUGUAUGUUCCUAGUCCUUAAUCAAAGUAUUAUCCAUCCAACGGCCAUAGCUUCAUGUCACUCUGAGUCCGGGAAUUGGGAUCCUGUGGCAGAACCACCCUAAUUAUAUGGCCCACAUGCACCUGUCAUUGUCCUUAAGACCUCUGACUACUGCACAUGAGAGUCAUAUAACUCGGAUAGUCUGUCGGGUGCCCUCAGAGGACCCCGAAUCAUCCACAUUUUUUACUCAUACAGGAUCAACAUGGAGUUACCACAACAUUACAACAUUUGUUACAAAAAUAACUUACAUCGGAGUGCGGAAGAUUUAUAACUUAAUUUACAACAUAUGAUGGAGUAUAAACAACUAAAUUUCCAAAAGGUGUGUAGAGUAGCGGAAGCAUCUUAGGUGAAGCUUCUAAGGUAGAAGAGGUGGAUAAAUCAUGUCGCGCCCACCGACAUGACCUCCAUAGCAGCAUAAGUCAGCACCUGCAACAGGGGUUAUAAAACCCUGAGUACUGGAGUACUCAACAAGACUUACCCGGUGGGAAAAGAGGAGAACUUAGGAAUGCAGGCUUUGGGUAGACAAGGAGUGGCUGAGCAAGGAGCCAAAUUGUUUUGCCAAAAAGCUUACUAAUAGUGCAUCCUUACUUUCAAGUUUUACCCAUGAAUUCCUCUCCUUAAGAGGUCGAGGAGUUCGAGGACAGUCUAUCUUGUUGCUUCUCACAGACAAGUCUGUAAGUUCCUAGUCCUUAAUCAAAGUAUUAUCUAUCCAACGGCCAUAGCUUCAUGUCACUCUGAGUUCGGGAAUUGGGAUCCGAACCUCAUGCGACAUUUCCCCCUUUUUCAUUUUACAACUUAGUUGCAUAUUUAACUACGAUGAGGGUCAGUGGAUUGAGUCUCCCAAUCGGGGAGCAACGACGAUUUGAACCGCUUAGCAAUCCAGCUGGAGUUCCUAACCACCCGACAUAUGUAGAACCAAAUCUUGCAUAUGUCAACCCAAAUCAAGCUUUCCCCAAAUUUGACUAGGUUCGCGGCACCCGAGAGCACAGUACUCCACCAUCCUACAGCCGAUCUAGAUGUUUUCCGGUCAUCUCAGAUCCGUAAGGUGGGUACACGCUACUCUCGCCAUCGCUCCACGCCCAGUGCGCGAGUACUGUUCGUGUCGAGGGAUCACAAGACCGGGCUUACCGAGGGCAAGUGGCUAGUACUAUAAAUUCUCAACCCAGCGGGCCAUCAACGGACCGGUCCUUAACCGACACAGUUGGAGACACUACUUUAAGACUCCAUUCUUAAAGCAAGUCCACCGACCGGUCUCAAAUUGAAAUAUCAUUGAUCAUAAAUGUAUUCCACAACAACCCUUCAAACUUUCUGGUUUGAAAACCUAUCUAGUAGCAGGGCUAAGCAUUACUACGCGAUUUUAAAAUAAAACAGGUGUCAAGGACAGGAUAACAAAUAUCAAGGUAGUAAAUGCAGCAAGUAGGUUAACCCAAUUCUCAACUACCUAAUGCAGCAUUUUCAAUUCGUAAGUGAUAAAAGAUUUAAAAUAUUCAAGGAGGGGUUAAUGCAUCCGGGGCUUGCCUUGGUUGCAGAGCUAAUAGGGACCCUCGGAGACUUCCCAAGUCUCGGAUCCUAAUUCCUCGAACGGAGCACCGACCUCGGGGUUCGGUUCAACGGUUGCUCCUUCGGUCCCGUGCACUAUACGCAAAAUGAUGGAUGCUCAUGAUAUGCGUAUGACAAUUAUUUAAGAAGGACCGAGUUGAGUACAACUCUCCUCCUCGGUGCAAGGACACGUUAAACAGUAAUUAAAGUUGUUUGUCAUUUUAGUGUUCUUACCCAAGAGGAUGCAUCAAGAAAUUAAGAUUUCUCUAAAUUCAUAAUUAAUCUUAAUUAACUGACUAUUAACCCUUUUUAUCUUAAUUAAUUCUUAAUUAAGUAUUAAUGGCAGUAAUUAAGUAUUAAUACCAAACAGUAAUUAAAUGUCAAAGGUCAUUAAGGUUAAUGACCUCAGGUCAUCACACAAUUCUAAAAUCACUCAAACCCUAAUAUUGAGAAUUUAACUAAUUAUUAUCUAAUUAUUCUAGAAUUAUUAUUUAAUUACUAAUUAAGGGUUUAAUAAUAUUUUAUUCAAACAUUAUCCAAAUGCCACCAAAUUUUGUGUGAAGCCUGGGAAUAAUAUUCAGAGGCUUCUCACAAUUUUUGGUGAUUUUUGGAUAUACUCACAAAUUAUGAAAAUUCAUGGAAGUUUUAUUCAUUAAAUAAAAGAGACAAAUUUUAUAUAUAUGCAAACUACCAGAAAAUAGAAUCCCAUAUUUUUCCUGUGUUCUAUUUAUUUUAUAGAGCCUACACAAAAAUUGCCAUGAUUUUUGAAUCAGUAAACAAUUUUCUACACAAAAUCAAACAUACAAUAACUUUUGUAUAAAAAGAAAAAGGAAAACAACACUAUGCCGCGAGCGGCCCAGGAACUCGGCCCGCAGGCCGGCCCGUCCGCGCUCGGCCCAUGCGCGCGCUGCGUGCGCCUCCUCCCUCCUCAGGCGGUCACUGACGGGCGGGUCCCGCCCGUCAGACCCUUCUUCUACCUCCCGCCACCGGCUCGGCCGACCUCCGGCACGCCGUCGGUGAGCCUUCGGCUCUUGUGGUGGAGCGGUCUAGCUUCCCCGGCUUCUCGCGCAUCCUGUGGGACACUCAAAUCAUGUGUGUUGAUGCAAAAACUAGUCUGCAAACACAAAGGGCUAAUACCCGAUCCAAACGUUAAGGCGUGCCAGCCGAUUUGACCUUACUAUCGGCAAAGAUGAUAACUCGAAUACUUUAGUCCUGACAACAGCGAUACGCCCGGAUGUCACGGCUAAGAGGUACUCACGCGGAACUUGAGGAUACGCCGAGCUUGAGUCGACGAAUUCCUAAGAACUCGUAACAAAAAGAAAACGUAUGACGAAGUCGUCGAAAAGUAAAUGCUGGAAUAUGAGUAAAAAACGUAUGUUUGAUUGAUUGAUAGAUAUAUGAUUACAAGGUCUUAGGGCUUAUAUUUAUACCCUGCUCAAAGAGCUACGACCAGACACGAUUAGAAUUCGAAUUCCAAAUUACACGGAACCCGUAUACAAAACGAUACGAAUAACAUAAGGAAAUAAUAAAACCAUCCUUCGUGACAAACCGAAAUUCCUCCACAUGACAACUGGCAGCUUCCGGACUCCUCCUUCGCGUCAUCGGCAAUCCCCUUGCCAUAGUCAUCGGCAGACCCUUUUACUUGGCCAUCGGCACCAUAUUACUGUCUGAGGACUUAGUCACAUUCAACCUUUCCCUCAUCGGCAACCAUCCUUACCAGCAACCCGCAUCGUACUGCCACCCUGUCCUGCCAUCCUGGACACGUGCCCAAAAAUGGUGUCAACACAUGCCCCCCAGUUUCGGAGUAUAAAACUAUUAAUGCUCUGAAAUUCUCUGCAGUAAUGAUGUUUUCUCCGCAAUUAAUGCUCCUAAUCUGGUAACCGACAACCUCAAUCUGGGCAACUCUGAUCCUAAUCCUCCGCAGAUCCCUCGAAAUCCACAACUUCCCAAACGGGCAUCUCUCUUAGUCGUACAUCGGCAACAAUACCGUUACAAAGAUCUGCCGAUGCUCUGCCCAGGAUAUUCGCAAAAACGGUUACUUCCCCUCUAUCCGCCCAUCGGCAGGACGACCGUUAUAGAAUAUCACCGAUGGACCGACCAGGAGAUCGCGCACAGUAAAAUAUCUUUAGAUAAUGACCGCUUCCUGUCAAAUCACCUGCACAAUCCCUGGAUUAUCGUGCGAACAGUUACCAUAUCCACUUGAGUACCCUCGGGUUUCUCGGAUGCGGCAAAGAAAUAAGUCAGAUUUGCCCUUGUCCAUCUUGCCCUAUAAAUAGUUCCUUCUUGGGUACUCCUCCCCCAUUACAUUAUUCUGCCAUCCAACUUCACUUUUCCAGCGGCGGCGCCAUUCUCAAUCCUCAAGAUCUCCGACAAGCAUUCUUCUUCAUCAACUCCGGCGUCUUCCAGCGUCCCCUUCACGACAAGAUGGCCGUUGGCUUCGUCGUUCCUGAGGUCAGACUUCCAUCUCAUCUGCUGUACCUUUUUCCUGCAUUCCUGUUCAUCUGCGAUUUACCUUACCGAAUAUUUUCCUUCUCCUUUUUCUUUGUAUCUUUAUUCCCCAAAACACCAGGAGUUAUCCAACAAAAUUGUCAUUCCUACCGAUCAACCACAUCUUCAAUGCCUCGGCCCUCUAGGGGAUCCAGAUCCAACCGACCUUAUCAACGCAGAAACCAACAGGAUUCCCUUUAGAGCUGAAAACUUUGCUCUAGAUCUAUGGAAGGACACCUUUCGCUCUUGGCCUAGCCCUAAUGUAGGGUGGAAAGACUGGUUCUUGAGGGUCAGCAACUCUUAUGAAGUUCAAUGGGGUGAGAGGAAAUUAGCUCAAUGCAUUAGGCUGUCCAUUGCCGAUAUGCACAGGAACGAGUCAUUGCUGAUAGCCGCAUCUUACUUUUGGUCAGACACUCUCAACGCUUUUGUUUUUGGCCAUGGCCCUGCUUCUCCUACCCUUGCCGAUGUAGCCAUGCUUACUGGGUUAGACAUAUCUUCUGCCGAUAGCACCCACUUUUUUGAUACCGCCCCCAGUGCCAAAGUGGAGACUCGCGCUAUCGGCGGCUGGUCAGGGUACAUCCAGAAGUACCGCGGGAGAGGGCCUGUCACCAUAAAGGAACAAACCACUUUUCUGAACAUGUGGCUAGACAAGUUUGUAUUCUGUGGUCGAUCGGCAGGACCGACUUCUGUCUAUCUAUCGGCAGCAGAAAGACUGGCUAGCGGUGGUCAAUUUCCUCUCGGCCGUUAUUUGCUCGGCGCUGUUUAUCACCUUCUUCAUCAGGUAGUCCAGAAACUCCUGCUCGGCCAACCUAUCGGCAACUUGGGAGGUCCUUGGUGGUUUAUUAAUAUGUGGCUCAAUCUGCACCUGCACAAGCGCCUCGAUCUCAACUUGUUCUCUCAGCACUUCCCAAGAGAUAUAGCCGAGAACCAUGUGUUGGGUGAAGAGGAAUCGGCAACACGUGCCCCCCUGAACUUUGGCGAAGCUGUUAUAGUUUUACCCGGUUCAGGGAACACUCCGGAUCAGAUCGGCCGAUUCUUCGAAACGCUGUAUGAGGGUCUGGCCAGAGAUGAACGACCAUGGCUGGCUUAUGACGACCCAGAUAGCAUGCUCCCUCUGACCUUCAAUCCGUUCGACGAAGCUCUUGAUAGGGACAAUGAGGUGAUGAUGGCAAUCGUGACUCCCAGAGCCAUACCAAAAAUAUCCAUUCCUUCGAAUCAUCCACUUCAUCUUAAAAGCUGACUGAUGCGCUCCACACACUCCUUCAUGGAUUUCUCCCAUCAAACUUCUGGCUUCAUCAUCACCCAAGCAUCGGAGAAGAAUUCCGUCGAUAGUUCGAUAAUACAAUUCAUUUUCAAGGAGCACAUACUUGGUUGCUUGAAAUCAAACCCGUCUUUCAACUUUUUUGGAUGGAUCUUUUAGAUAAUCAAUAAUUUCCUCCCUCCAAUCACCGGCACUGACUACCGAUGUCGCAUUAAUCAUUGGCUGAUAUCCCGAGGCAUGCUGGGCUAACCGAUUAGCGUCUUCAUUAUGCAAUCGGGGAAUAUGCUCCAAUCGGAAGUUCUUGAAUUCCUUUAACAGUUGUAUACUUCUCUCGAAAUAGGUUAUGAGAACUUCACUCCGGCAUUCAUAGCUUCCGGCCAAUUGAUUUAUAACCAACAUGGAAUCUCCGAAUACUUCAACAGCAUCAGCACGAACUUCUCUUAACAACUCCAAUCCCCUGAUCAGAGCUUGAUACUCAGCCUGAUUAUUUGUUGAUGUAGCAACAAUCGGCAAGGAAAAUUCAUACUUCCUCCCCUUAGGAGAAACUAAUACAAUGCCGAUUCCUGCUCCCCGGUCACAGGUAGAUCCAUCAAAGAAGAGCGUCCAGGGUGCAAUUUCCAAGGUUUCCACUAGACCGCAAUGCUGAGUCACAAAAUCGGCCAUAACCUGCCCUUUGACCGCCUUAGCCGAUUCGUAACGCAAAUCGAACUCCGACAGCGCCAAAACCCAUUUACCGAUCCUACCACUCAUAAUCGGCAUAGAUAGCAUGUAUCGGACCACGUCAUCUUUGCAAACAACAGCACAUUCGGCCGACAACAGGUAAUGUCUUAGCUUGAUACAUGAAAAAUAUAAGCAUAAGCACAGCUUCUCAAUGGCCGAAUACCUGGUUUCAGCAUCAAUUAACCUCCUACUCAAAUAAUAAAUUACCCUCUCUUUCCCUUCAAAUUCUUGAACCAAAGCUGAACCGAUAACUGAUCCAUCGGUAGAUAAAUAUAAUUUGAAGGGUUUCCCUUGUUGAGGUGGAACUAAAACUGGAGGGUUUACUAGAUACCUUUUGAUUUCAUCUAGAGCCAACUGCUGUUCUUUUCCCCAAACAAACUCCUGAUCGGCUUUCAAUUUAAGAAGAGGACUGAAAGCACGAAUUCUCCCAGAUAAAUUCGAUAUAAAUCUUCUGAUAAAAUUCACUUUGCCGAUCAAAGAUUGGAGCUCGGUUUUAUUGGUAGGGGCCACUAUUUUAUUGAUAGCGUCAAUAGAUCUUCGACUAAUUUCAAUACCCCUCUGAUGUACCAUGAAACCAAGAAACUGCCCUGCCGAUACACCAAAUGCACACUUGUUGGGAUUCAUCUUCAAUCCAUGCUUCCUUGUGCACUCCAACACUCUUCGUAAAUCGGCAAGAUGCUUUGAGAAAUCUCCAGACUUGACCACCACAUCAUCAAUAUAAAUUUCUACGAUCUUGCCGAUGAACUCAUGAAAUAUAAAAUUCAUAGCCCUUUGAUAAGUAGCACCGGCAUUCCUUAACCCAAAAGUCAUGACUAUCCAUUCAAAUAGUCCAACAUGACCAGGACACCUGAAUGCGGUUUUUGGAAUAUCCUCUUCUGCCAUGAAUAUUUGAUUGUAACCCGCAUUACCAUCCAUGAAGCUGAUGACCCGAUGGCCAGCCGCAGCAUCAACCAGUAGAUCGGCGACAGGCAUUGGGUAUCCAUCCAUCGGCGUAGCUUUAUUGAGAUUCCUGAAAUCAAUGCACACCCGAAGCUUCCCGUUCUUCUUGUAAACCGGGACGACAUUGGAAAUCCAUUCAGCAUACCGACACUGCCGAAUAAACUUAGCUUCAAUAAGUUUAGUGAUUUCGGCCUUAAUAUCAGGUAGAAUGUUAGGAUUACAUCGGCGGGCUGGUUGCUGAUGUGGCCGAAAUCCAGACUUAAUGGGUAACCGAUGUUCAACAAUUGAUCGGUCUAAACCAGGCAUCUCUGUAUAAUCCCAAGCAAAGCAAUCUUUAUAUUCCUUUAACAAACUAGUUAAUUGCCUUUUACACUCAGGAUCUAGUUUAGCACUAAUAAAAGUAGGCCUAGGCUUAUCACCACUUCCUAUAUCCACUUCUACCAAAUCAUCAGCCGAUGUGAAUCCCUGGCCUAAUUUUCCAUCAUCGGCGAAUCUAUCCAUUAAAAACCGUCGUCAGAACCGACUGCUUGGAUCGGUGGAAUCUCAUAAUCGGCAACUUUGAGAAAAUCUUUCUCCCAAACUUCUCCUGAAAUGCACCUAGUCUUCUCAUAAGUAUCCGCUUCUGCCGAUGCGAUAACAUAAGAAGAAUCCCCUGGGACGAUCUCAAUCUUGUCACCUACCCACUGAACCAAGCACUGAUGCAUUGUAGAUGGGACACAACAAUUGGCAUGAAUCCAAUCUCUCCCCAAUAAUAAAUUGUAGGCACCUUUUCCGCUGAUCACGAAAAAGGUUGUCGGCAAGGUCUUGCUGCCGAUGGUCAACUCCGCACAUAUCGCCCCCUUGACCGGAGACACGUUUCCCUCGAAGUCUUUGAGCAUCAUAUCGAUCUUGGUCAAAUCUUGAUCCCCUUUCCCAAGCUUCCGAUAUACUGCAUAUGGCAUAAUAUUAAUAGCAGCCCCACCAUCAACUAGGAUCUUAGUCAUUGGCUGCCCAUCAACCCUUCCUUUGAGGAACAAAGCUUUAAGAUGCUGCCUCUCGUUAUCGGCAGGUUUCUCAAAGAUAGCCGUCAUUGGAUCCAGAGCCAACUGAGCUAUCUGAUCAGAAAAUCCCAACUCAUCGUCACUGGCCGGUGCAAGAAACUCCAUCGGCAACAUGAAUACCAUGUUGACGCCUGCCGAUGGACCUUCUUUCUUAGCGUCUGACGGCUGCCGAAUCCCAGAGUUCUCUCCUUUAUUUAGCUCUUCCUGCCUUUCACGUUGCAAUCUCCUUUUCUGUGUCUUAGUUAAUCCUUGAGGGCACCAUGGAGGAAGUGGCCUUUGUCUUGCCGUCGGGCGUUGGUUCUCUCUUGACUCCAUGCGAUGCGUGUUAGUAUCCCUGCAAAAUAUGAAUUCAUCGGGAACCCGCGCAUCAGCCAUUCUUUCAAGCUCCUCUUGGUUCCUGGGAAAAUACUGGACACGGUCACCGAGCCGAUCGCGAACGCUAAGCCUGCCCCCCAGCCGAUCAGGAACUGACGCCCUUCCUCUGAUCGGCCCAUUAAAUCGUCGUUCAUCAUCAUGAUAACGCCGAUCGUUCCUGCCGUACCGAUCAUAACCGUUGCAUUCAGGGCAGUCUCUGACAGUAGGAAGCUUGAUAUUUUCCUCCCAACAAUGGAUGAAGAAUGGGCAAUUCCAAUGAUCCCUGUGCCGAUUCCACUCCUGUCGGCGUCUCUCUUCUUCCCGUUGAUAAUCUUCCUGCUGGCGCCGGUACCGAUCUUCCCGUUGUGGCCAUCUCUCUCGAGGCCUUCUAUGAGUUAUGACAAUACUAGAUCGAGGAAUUCUUCCCGAGCUAGCUCCUUCCUGGACCAAGCCCUUACUUCUUGCAUCGGCGGUAGUAACUUGAUGCUGAGGAUCUACCGAUGCACUCUUCUCAGCUGUCUCCGACGUUAAGACCUUAGCCUUCCCCCUUAGCAUCCAACAUGUUCGUCGGGAAAGGAUGUUGGUCUAUCUUCAUCGGCUUCUGGGCUUUGGAACUAUCAAACUUGAUUCUCCCUGACUCUAUGGCCGAUUGCAGCUGUUGUCUAAAUACUUUGCACUCAUUGGUAUCAUGUGAAGUUGCAUUAUGCCACUUGCAAUAUCUCAUCCUCUUCAACUCCUCUGCCGACGGGAUCACGUGGUUAGGUGACAAUUUGAUUUGACCUUCCUGAAGUAGAAAGUCAAAUAUCCUAUCGGCAUUGGCGGUGUCAAAUGCAAACUUCUCUGGUUCCUUCUGCCCAAAAGGACAAGACAUCGGCUUCUUGUUUUUUACCCAUUCUGCCAAACCGAUUACUGGUUCUUCAUCGGAAUCUGAGCUUGUUACUUCAUCAACAAAUGAGACUUUCUUAUUCCAUGCCCUCUUAGGCUCGAAAGGCUUGAUGUCUUGAUCAGAUAUCCUCUGCACCAAGUGACUUAAACUUUCAAACUCCUGAGAGGCAUACUUAUCCCUGAUGUGUGGCAACAAACCCUGGAAAGCCAAAUCGGCUAGCUGCCGAUCAUCCAGAACCAGGCUAUAGCAUUUAUUUUUGACCUCUCGUAUCCUCUGCACAAAUCCCUCAACCGACUCAUCAUUACGUUGCCUCAACUUGACCAAGUCGGUGAUCUUCUUCUCAUGAACCCCCGAGAAGAAAUAUCUGUGGAAUUGCUUCUCUAGAUCGGCCCAAGUAAUUACUGAAUUGGGAGGCAAUGAUAUGAACCAAGUAAAGGCCGAUCCAGACAAUGAUGAUGAAAAUAGGCGAACCCUCAAUUCGUCCCUGUUACCAGCCUCUCCACAUUGAAUAAUGAACCUGUUGACAUGCUCCAUGGUUGACGUGUCGUCCUGUCCGGAAAACUUUGUAAAAUCCGGUACUUUGUACCGAUGUGGAAGCGGGAUCAAAUCAUACGCUGGAGGAUACGGUGUCCGAUAAGAAUAAGUGUUGACUUUGGGUUUUAUCCCAAAUUGUUCCCUCAUUACUUCGGCAAUCUUAUCGGCCCAAUACGCAUCGGCAUCUUGCCGAUGAGGCGGCUGCGGAUCUGGCAUUUGGUGGCGAACCUCCACGUGUCUGUUCGGGACGUGACCUGUAUGGAACAUCGUAUUGGUCACCUGUCCUCCAAUCUGCGGACUACCAAACUGCUGUCCACUGAUUGGCUGUCCUCCGAGUUGCUGUCCAAAAUUUAUUGGCUGGUUGGGAAUUCCCUGACCUUGGAACCCGGGAUAAACCUGCCCUUGCUGGAACCCUGUAGUCUGAUAACCCUGCUGGGGUGACUGUGGAAAGGCUUGCUGUCCAAGCCAUCCAUUAUUAGCGUUCAUCGGCAUAGGUGCUGCCGAUGAUUGGUAAUUGGGUACCGUCGUUGAAUUGACAUACCCUGACUGGGCCAUAGGCCUCUGUUGCACCAGCAUUGAUUCUGCCGAUGCGUUAGGCAUCUGGAACAUUGGAUCUUGAGGAUUUCCGGUGUGAGGCCUUGCAGUAGUAGUUGUGGUAUACCGAGGACUCUGGUUCACCGGAACAUUGGAAGGUACCGAUGUCAUAGGAGUUUUGCCCCUCAUGUCAGUUAUCUGUGAUGUUCCCGGCGUCAACUCUGGAGGCAUACCAUAACCCCACCAGUUAGGAGGAAGAGUUAACCCCGACAUUGCCGAUGCCAACAUAUCUGUUGUCAGUUUAUGCUGCCCAACUGAAAUUUGUGGAUUGGUUACCAUCGGCAUAGAUAGUGCACCAGUAGUCCCCAAUGUACUCGGAGGAACGGCAGACUGUGCACUCGCACUUGUCAAGGCAGCCGAUGGAGCCGUGACCUCUGGUGCCGUGGGUUGAUGAUGGGAAGGGCCCACAUAAUCCGGUGGGAUUUGUCCUUCCUUGAAGGUUCUUGCCACGGCGUUGAAAACCGUAUUAGACAGUACACCAGCUUGGUUAAUCAACGCUCGAUUGAUGGCAUUAUCAACCAUGUCUUGAAGCUUGCCAGGAUUGGCGUCAAAGGUGACCUGCCGUGGUGCCGGCAGUGCAUCUUUCUGGACCACCUCGCCGCUCCUAUUUAUGCUGAAAGACUUCAGGCAUUGCUGCUUGAACUCUUCCAUAGCUUGGGCAAUAGCUUGCUUCUGCUCAUCCUUGGGGUUAGCUUCCGUCACGGGGAUGACGUUGUCUUGAUCGAGGUCAGAGAUCGACAUGUUGAUCUUGAUCUUGAAUCUGUCCCACCGGGCGUGCCAGAAGAUGUGUUGAUGCAAAAACUAGUCUGCAAACACAAAGGGCUAAUACCCGAUCCAAACGUUAAGGCGUGCCAGCCGAUUUGACCUUACUAUCGGCAAAGAUGAUAACUCGAAUACUUUAGUCCUGACAACAGCGAUACGCCCGGAUGUCACGGCUAAGAGGUACUCACGCGGAACUUGAGGAUACGCCGAGCUUGAGUCGACGAAUUCCUAAGAACUCGUAACAAAAAGAAAACGUAUGACGAAGUCGUCGAAAAGUAAAUGCUGGAAUAUGAGUAAAAAACGUGUGUUUGAUUGAUUGAUAGAUAUAUGAUUACAAGGUCUUAGGGCUUAUAUUUAUACCCUGCUCAAAGAGCUACGACCAGACACGAUUAGAAUUCGAAUUCCAAAUUACACGGAACCCGUAUACAAAACGAUACGAAUAACAUAAGGAAAUAAUAAAACCAUCCUUCGUGACAAACCGAAAUUCCUCCACAUGACAACUGGCAGCUUCCGGACUCCUCCUUCGCGUCAUCGGCAAUCCCCUUGCCAUAGUCAUCGGCAGACCCUUUUACUUGGCCAUCGGCACCAUAUUACUGUCUGAGGACUUAGUCACAUUCAACCUUUCCCUCAUCGGCAACCAUCCUUACCAGCAACCCGCAUCGUACUGCCACCCUGUCCUGCCAUCCUGGACACGUGCCCAAAAAUGGUGUCAACAAUGUGCUACUCCCCUCUAAUCUCCUUGCCCGCGUCUAUGGCGGACGGCGAGGCUAACGGCGCGAGCACCGGCCACUACACGCGGAUAGAACGCGAACCAAAAGACGCAUGAGCAUCAGGGGCUCACCACGACUUCGACAAGGUAGAGAGCGGUGGUGGAGGAGCUCGAAGAAGAGCUGGCCACGGUGAGGUGUUUGCGGCGGCGCUUCGGCCGGAGUUGGAGAGGAGAACGGCUCGGUUACGGCCUAUGGGAGGUUAAAGCUUGUGCUAGGGGGUGCAAUCGGUGGCGGAGUUCUUGGCGGAGCUGCUGGGAGUUCGCUGGUGGCUUGGAAGGGAGCGAGUGAGGCGAAUUUGGGAGCGCAGCAAGGUCGUCGGCGUCGAGCGGAAAAGGAGAAAACGAGGUGGCCGUGCAGUGUGGUCACUGAGGGGAGUGGAUGAGCACGCCGGGGGCUCGUCCACUUCAUGGCGGGCUCGCGCAGCCAAGCAGCUGCGUGGCUAGGCGCGUGGCGGCGCUGGACGCAGCGGCUCUGCCCCGGCGGCAGAGGAUCCCCCCUGCUUGAGCACUGUAGCGAGCCCUAUCCAACCAUUUUGUGGUUUUGCAAAAUUCACCCAAAUUUUGAACUAAAGACAAAAUUCCACCAAAACAAAAGUUGUGCAGAAAUUUACAAACUACAAAACAUGUUCUGGUGCCCAAAACUGAUUCUAAGUGGAAGAGUGUGAAUUUGGCAAAACAAUAUGAACUUCAAAUCUCAAAUUGGGAAAAUUCCAAUUUUUGAAUUGGGGCAGAUCAGAAUUUCCAAAAUUACUUUUGAUUUUCCAUAACAACUUGAAAUAUUCCCAACAUGAAAGUUGUUCAACUUUUUGAGCUCUACAACUUUCAUGUUGGUCACUUUUCAAGAUUCCAAAUAGAUUUUGAAUUGGAGAUUCAAAUUGGAAAAGGGGACACUUUCUGGAAAACUGUAUUUUCGAAAUUGCUUUGAAUUUUGCAUUGAAACUUCAAAAACUCAAAACAGCAAAGUUGUACAUCUUGACAAGAUCUACAACUUUGCUUUUGAACUCAACUUCAAAUUUUGCUUAGUUUUUAAAUUGCACAAAAGGGGGCAAAACAAGGCUUUUAAAAUCAGGGUUCCCCCCCCCCAUUUUCUCGGAAAUCUUCCACCCUAGGAGUUAAACCACCAACACAAGCAUCCCUUCAGAACAUAAGCACAUUUUAAUUCCCUAAGCACAUUCAACCAAAUUAAACUUAUUUUAAGUUAAUGCUUCAGGAUGUGCUUACCAAAUAUGCGAUGCAAUGCUCAUGAUGACAUGAUCCAGUUUUAGUAACCGUAACAUCGGGGAUGUUUCAGAUCCGAACCUCAUGAGACAUUUCCCCCUUUCUCAUUUUACUACUUAGUUGCAUACUUAACUACGAUGACAGUCAGUGGAUUGAGUCUCCCAAUCGGGGAGCAACGACGAUUUGAACCGCUUAGCAAUCCAGCUGGAGUUCCUAACCACUCGACAUAUGUAGAACCAAAUCUUGCAUAUUGUUGACGGUCCUUAAUGCUCACAUUUAUCUGUCAACUAAUCAUGAAAAAGGAUUCAAAUGCAACCGACACCUAGACUUAGGGUUUGAUCUGAUAGAUUUCCACGAGUUUUGGUGUUUGUGUAUUUCUGCAGGGGGUUAUCAGGAAAUACGAAGGAAAGGCCCACACGUCGGGUUUACAUAGAGAAUUAAUGUGUGAGGUAAUUUUCCAUAAUCAGGAAGAUUCUAUAAGCAACUCGACCGAAGGAGAGCCGACACGGGCCCGGGGUCGGGGCGCCCGCCCUUGAUCCUAGGGCGCCCGUCCUGGUACAAGCACCAAUCACAGAAUGGAGUACACCAUUACAAAGAUCUCGUCGAGCUGAUCGAAAUGCAUAUAUUAUUUGCUAUAUUUGGAGUUCGGAAUCAAGAGAUAUUAAUAAAAGAAGGACUCCACAUAAAAGAGCUGCAAGAUUAAUUGGGCACAAAUCAGAUUUUCGUCCAUUAAGGCCUAUGUGCAUUUUAAUGAGAUAUGGUGGGAAGUUUAGUACCACAUCGUUUGCUGAACCAAAAAGGCACAAAGGAAGUUUCAAAAAAAAAGGCACAAAGGAGGAGGCUAUAUAAGCAAGGCCCCUGGCCCCUGGAGAAGAACAAAUCAUUAUAGAGUUGAGAGGUGCCCUCGAAGGAUAACCUUUCCUCUAUAGAGAAUUAGGGCUAGACACUCCAAUAUAGUAGAUUAGUUCUAGUCAGGAGUUAGGGAGAGCGGAGCUGCUCUUCGGUUCUGGAGAAGUCUUCAGAGUUUUGGUAUGUCUUUAUAUUUAUUGUAAGACUUAUGCUUUAAUAUAUUUAUCUUCUCUAUUUACUUUUAUGCCUUUAUUAUUAUCGAGUAGUGUAGUUGUUAUAUUUUGGCAUAGGAUCUCCGUUCGCAUCGAGUGCUCUAGUUAUUCAUGGUAAUUAGAGUGGUAAUCGUUAGUGUAGACGUGGUGUCUAUACUAGUGGUUACCUGAGGUUGCACCCAGUCCUGCGGAUUGUUGUGGUACCCCUAGGGUAGUGAGAGCCCUAACGGUCGACGUAUUCCACCUCGUUCGGAUCGGUGUUUGUAGGACCGUAGUCAGAGCUUGCCAGCCCACUUCCAGUUCUCUUUCUGUGGUUGGUGUUCUGAUGUCCCAAAGUGCUAAUAUGUGAUUGCUAUAUCUAUUCAUUCUUUGUUAUCAUAGAACUAAAGUAAUAGAGAAGUAUACAGAAACCCAGGUCUCUCCCGUUGUCCUCCCGCUAUGGCUAUCUAUGCAUUUAUCAUAGAAUUCUCACCUUUAUAUUAUUACCUAUCAUAUAUCAUUUACCCCUACUUUAGUCUAGUUGGUUUAUUAAAUUAGUAGAUGCAUGAUAGUAUUUGACCUUAGCUUCCCUGUGGUAAAAUAUAAAUAACGAUACGUGGAAUACUCUCGUUAAAAUGCUACGAUGAUGUUCUGUGCGCUUGCGGAAUUUUUCUUAUUCUUAUUGCACUUAAUGAAUGUCGACAAGCAUUUUUGGCGCCGUUGCCGGGGAAGCAAUUGGUGUGAAGAUUUUGAUAAUGAUCUUGAUGUCUGCUAAUUUAAUGUAUCACUAGCUUUAGUAGGUUUAUUGUAUUUAUCUUUUCUGCAUUUGUUUUUAGUAUAUUUAUUUCUCCAUAACAUAUUUAUCUUUCUGCAUUAUUAUUGCAUUAGAAAAUAUAAUAAAAAUAUUUUAUAUAACUCAUUGCAUCUUAAAUACUAAAACCCCAUGUGAAUAAAUUGUGUGGUGUGUAAAAGCCUACACGGAUAUUCACCGUGGUGGAAUAAAAAAAAUAAAAAUAAAUAAACAUGCAUUCAUCUUGUUCUAUUUCCUAUUUGCUUCACAGAAAGAUUAAAACCCAAAAAAAUAUAUAUAUUGAGAAAGAGAUCUUGUUGAAACUUUGCUUAGAAAAAGAAUUAAGAAAAAUCUAAAAAGCUUGGACAACUAAGGCUUAAGUGGCCAACUACUAAUGUUUAAUCGAUGCCACAAGUUUUGUUGUCUAUUUGAGUUUAACAUGAUUUAAAGAGAGAAUCCCCAAUGAUCAAGAUAUCUUCAUCAACUUGGAAGCGCUCCAAUCAUCACUGACAUUUUGAAGCUCAAGAAUAUUGAAGAACAUCUGUGUUGUGAGGAUUCAAGAUUAAAGACUAUGUCAACAUUCAGCUUGGGGGAAAGCAAUCCCGUUAUCUUCGCGAUUCAGGCUUGAAGUAAAAGAGUGAAGAAUAACAACAUGGUAUGUCCAACCAAUCAUCAUGCAACAUUGAAUUAAAUUCAUCCAAACUUGACUUGUUCAACCUGGGGGGAAUACCUUACACAAAAACAUCCUUUGCCAUGUUGCUAUGUUGGUUUUCCCUACCCUUAUGACAUGCUCAAUUUGUUAAACACUAAUCAUUCUACUUCAUCCCAAGUUGAGUAGAUUUCUAUAAUGUUGUCAUGCUACCUUUGUCUAUUCACAAGUAAGUGUUGGUUUGGAAGUACUCGACAUACUUCCAUUGGCAUUUAAAUUAAGCAUGGUGCUUAGGUUAAAUAGCCUUCCUUAAUCCGAUUAGACAUGGAGUCUAGUUUGGUUAUUGAACUAAAAACUGCUUGUGUAGACACUGGUAUAUUUUGUUGGACUAACCCCUGCAGGAAAAUUUUCAAUAUCGAUUUGAGAAGUCCUGAGAUAAAUUCAGAAUGGAGAUAAAGAGGGAGACACAUGAAGUUUAACAAUUUGCACAAGAGAGACAUAACUCGUCCAUCAUAGAGAGAUAAUCCAUGGAACGAGACGAAGAGUGCCACGAACAAGAUGCACAACCAUUGAGAAAGAAAAGCUUCCACAAGGUGAUAUUGUACCAUCACUCUUCAAUUAUGGUAACAUCUUAAGGUAUGUGACUGUCACUGUUAUAAGCUUCUCCUUGAUUCUGGCAUGCACAUGGAUAAAAAGACAAACAUGUAUGAUUUAUAACUCCAAAUUAACCAACCCAAUUGAUUCAACAUGUUUAGUCAUUUAAUCUUUGUUUCUGAUACUACCUUCUUAAUCCCACACUCUUAACCAUAUGAGCUAAAAUUUUGCACAUCCGAUCUUUGGAAAAUGAUAGUCACGUAAAGAAAAAAGAACAAUUACUUAGAUAGAUUAUCUUUCCAUAAGGUUGAGUGAUCUGAUCUGACAAAUGUUUUAAAUGCUACACUCAUGAUCUUAUCAUCCAUCAACUUUGUCUUGCUCACUAAGCUUAAGGUUAGAGAAGAACAAAUACACUUUUAGUUCUGUUGUUGUUUUCCACCAAUAGGGCCCAUGCACUUGAUCUCUGCCUUGUUUCUAUGAGCAGGAUACACUUGGAGCAAAACCUGGAGGAGUUUUCCAACUCCCAGACUCUACCAAGUGAAGGAUCUGGAUCUGCGAGCACAAAGACACUGAGGAGGAUACUGCCAACGCCGCACUUCGAACUGCUAGGCAAACGAAAAACAUGGGUGACACCGUAUCAAGAGUUGCAGAUGUCAAGGUCCACAUCUAACUCAAAUGACGCACCUAAAGAAUAAACACGGUGAGAAGUCUUGUUCACAAGACUUAAAACAUUGAACCCUCGCCGAAAGGUAAAAUCGGUAGUUAUCCAUAUUUAUCCUUUCUGCAUUCCUUUUUUUCUUAAAUUAUUUACUUUCCUUAAAUAGCUUGUUAGUUAAUCAUGCUAUCUUGAAAAGAAAAUAAAAAUAUUAAAAACAGUAAGCCCCAUGUGAGUAUGCUCGUGGCAUAAAACCCAUCACUGUGGUGGUGUAAAAAUAAAAUAAAUAUAUUCUUGUCCUGUAAAAAUGAAAAUAUAAAAAUAAAUUUAUGAUCCUACUAAAGAGAGUAAUAUUUAUUAGAGGAAGCUCAACAUGAUAAAGGCUAAGAGAUUUUAUGCUAACACUUAACCAGUUCCACAAAGCUUUGUUGUCUAUUUGAGCUCCAUAGAAUUCAAGGAUCAAGGAAGACUAGUAGACGGAGGAUAUCCUAAUCGCUAUCAGGGUGCUGCUAACAUUCAAAUACACCUACGCCACCUGCUAACUACAUCAGAAGAAAUUACGUUAAGAUCCAGCUUGGGGGAGAGCACCCCCAUUUAUCCAACUAAGUGUUUCGACUCACAUUUAUACUUUACUCAAAUAAUAAAAAAAUGUAUAAUCAUAAAAACCCAAUUAAACAUUUUGUGCUUAUAUAUAUCUUUGCUUAGUUUGCUAAAUAAAUAAAUAAAGUGUCUAUGCCAAACUGAACUUCAAUGACAAACUCUUAUAUGGAUAUGAUGAAUAGUUGCUCUGUCAAGUACCUAGUUUUCAAAUUUGAGCUCUCUCUCAAGUUUAGGCAUAACUGUUAUAAUUUAAAGCUUGCUCUAAACCUGAAUUUGCGGGAAGAGUACCUGAUCAAAAGUCUAAGUCAUUAACAGAUAUGAUAUGGGAAUGUUGAACUGCUGUUUAUCUGUUCCUAGAGAUGCUAGAAUUCUAGAGAAUUUUAUCUUUGAAAAUCUUUAAAAUGUUGCAUGAUGAGUUCCUGUAUGACGAGAGUUUAAAAUCCUACCACAGCCAUAUAUACAAGCUUAUUAGACUAUGAACCAUACAUUUACUUUUUACUGCUUAUGAGCAUUGAGUGUGGUCAAGCUGUGUAGACCCUUAGGAGCUUGUCAUGCGGUAAAAAUCAAGAUUCACUUACACGUUCACUCAGACAUGCUGCUUCUACUCCAGAAGUACGCAUCCACAUACAUCCACUCAUUUCCAUAUCUAGAUUCACCCAAAAUUAUUCUACUCCUAUCUAGGAGAGAAUAGCCAAAAACAUUAUCCUAUCCCUGUUAUUCCCCGUGAAAUAAAUGCUCGAGAUAUUUUGGUUACUACCACUUGCUACAUUAUUCCAGGAGGGUGAGUGCUCUGAAAAAAGUGAAUACAAGGAAAUAAAAAGAGACAAGUGUCCGAAACCUCGAAAAAAAAGAAAAAAGAAAAGAAAAAGUGAGACGAGAGGUAAAAUGGACAAGUGUCCGACAAUAGAAUUAGGGGUACAAGAUACCCACCUGAGAGAAAAGAAAAAUAAAAUAUAGAGCAUCUCAUUCCCCUCGAAAGCUUAAAGUGCAAGGAAGGUAUGUACCCCCUCAAAAGAGCAAAAAUAGAAUUGGACUUUCACCAUUAUUUUCACCAUUAUCACCAUUCAUUUGCCACACAUGCACAUCUUGAUUUGACUUAUUGACUUGUUCUUGUGGAUCUAUGGUUUGACUAUGCAAUAAAUGUCUUGUAAGUAUGUAUUAGAUCAAAACCUUAUUAGAGUAGGGUGAGAGAGAAGGCAAUGUCACUAUGCCUCAUACCAAAAAUACCACAUACUUUGAGAGAAGGCAUACACCAUCAUUGCCUUGGUAAGGAUCCAGAAAUACCACAAAAGAGAGACUAGAGAGAGUCAUAUAAGGAAUCUCUGAGUUUUAUUUGAAAAUCUGCAAAAACUCUAGAGCUAUAGUUAAUCAAAAAACAAGAGACAUGGUGCUUGACUAGACCGUUCUAUCUUUUAACUGCUCAAGACAUAAGUGACGGUUGCAAGCCCCAUGGUGGAAGGUAAAAUGAGUAAGUUUAAAUCUUAACAAUUUACCCUAACCCAGAGAUGAGAUCUUGUUUGAACGCGUGUAUACCUUUAAGGCAUGAAACCACUGCAGAAACUCUUGAGUCCAUCUUUGCUCAGGGACGACCAAAGGUUAAGCUUGGGGGAGCUUGUUGACGGUCCUUAAUGCUCACAUUUAACCGUCAAGUAAUCAUGAAAAAGGAUCCAAAUGCAACCGACACCUAGACUUAGGGUUUCAGCUAACAGAUUUCCACGAGUUAUGGUGUUUGUCUAUUUCUGCAGGGAGUUAUUAGGAAAUACGAAGGAAAGGCCCACACGUCGGGUUUACAUAGAGAAUUAAUCUGUGCGGUAAUUUUCCAUAAUCAGGAAGACUCUAGAAGCCACUCGACCGAAGCGGAGCCGAGACGGGCUCGGGGCCGGGGCGCCCGCCCUUGAUCCUAGGGCGCCUGCCUUUGUACAAGCACCAAUCACAGAAUGGAGUACACCAUUACGAUGAUCUCGUCGAGCUGAUUGAAAUGCAUAUGUAAUUUGCUAUAUUUGGAGUUCGGAAUCAAGAGAUAUUAAUAAAAGAAGGUCUCCACAUAAAAGAGCUGCGGGAUUAAUUGAGCCCAAAUCAGAUUUUGGUCCAUUAAGGCCUAUGUGCAUUUUAAUGAGAUAUGGUGGAAAGUUUAGUACCACAUCGCCUGCUGAACCAAAAAGGCACAAAGGAGGAGGCUAUAUAAGGAAGGCCCGUGGCCCCUGGAGAAGAACAGAUCAUUAUAGAGUUGAGAGGUGCCCUCGAAGGAUAACCUUUUCUCUAUAGAGAAUUAGGGCAAGACAUUCCAAUGUAGUAGAUUAGUUCUAGUCGGGAGUUAGGGAGAGCGGAGCUGCACUUCAGUUCUAGAGAAGUCUUCAGAGUUUUGGUAUGUCUUUAUAUUUAUUGUAAGACUUAUGCUUUAAUAUAUUUAUCUUUUCUAUUUACUUUUAUGCCUUUAUUAUUAUCGAUUAGUGUAGUUGUUAUAUUUUGGCAUAGGAUCUCCGUUCGCAUUGAGUGCUCUAGUUAUUCAUGGUAAUUAGAGUAGUAAUCGUUAGUGUAGACGUGGUGUCUAUACUAGAGGUUACCUGAGGUUGCACCCAGUCCUGCGGAUUGUUGUGGUAGCCCUAGGGUAGUGACAACCCUAACGGUCGACGUAUUCCAUCUUGUUCGGAUCGGUGUUUGUAGGACCAUAGUUAGAGCUUCCCAGCCCCCUUCCAGUUCUCUUUCUGUGGUUGGUGUUCUGAUGUCCCAAAGUGCUAAUAUGUGAUUGCUAUAUCCAUUCAUUAUUUGUUAUCAUAGAACUGAAGUAAUAGAGAAGUAUACAGGAACCCAGGUCUCUACCGUUGU